AUGCUAUUAUUUCCUCCAUUUUUUCACAAUGUCGGACUCUAAUUGUCUCUAAGUUUUGGAGGCCCUGCAACAGCUCAACUGGAAACAACUUCUUCACCCUCGAACAAUAACUCAUAUGGAAUUUUUUAAGAGAAGAGAAGAUGGCAGGUGGUGUUGGAGCAUGAGAGGUAGAUUCAAUUUCAACCACUACUCCUAUUCCUACUCUCACAACUUCACGCAAGUUUCUCAACAAAAAUAGGCGUAACUCCUCAAUGUUGUCAAGUGCGUCACAAGACGAUAAUGACAAGUCAACCACACACUCUAUCCCUCUACAGUUCGUAAUUUGACAUUCCUUCCACUCAGUCACCUUACGAAACAAAGGAAUGUUGUUUAAACAUUUGAAAUCAUCGUACUUUUGAAUAGUUAAAGUUUGAAGGUCAUGUGGGACCACCCUAUCAUCACACCUCUCUAUCUCCGAACCUGUGAAUGUAAUCUGUUUCUUAAUUUUUUUGAAAUUUGGGCAACCCCAUAAAUCAAAACGCCAAUCCACCGAUGGUCCCCCCACUUGAAAAAAGAAAGAUGUAGGGCAUUUACCUUGUGUACACUCUGCGUAUUUAUUAAACUCUUGCACGUUGCGAAAUGAACAUUGAACCCACUCAAGCUUCCUCAAUUGGCCUACUUCUUCUCCCUUUAAAAACGUCUUCUCUAUUAUUAAGCAUUGGAGAUGACAGAUCCUCGGUAAUAUUCCUACCGGUAGCUCUUUUAAAGCCGUUGACCCCAUAAGAAGAUCUCUCAAGUUUUCUAACAUCUCUAUGCCAUGAGGAACCUCUUCAAUUCCUGUGCCCAAAAGGUUCAACUUUCUUAGUGCUGUGAGCUCUACUAAGGAAGGCACCUUUUUUAACUCCUCACAACCAGAAAGUAUCAAUGCAUUGAGAGUUUUCAAGUUAGAGAUCGAAUUGGGCAGAUAUUCUAAGGAACGAUUAUCUGAAAGAUUUAGAACUUUUAACCCAGACAUGUGCUUAAAAAAAGAUUCUGAAAUCCUUUCUAAGCCACAAUGUUCCAAAAUCAAAGUUGAUAAAUGAGGCCAUCUAGGUGAUAUGUGAGGAGGAAUUUCUAAUUUAAAAGUUUCCAUCAAGGAAACUUUCUCAACACUCACUGUCCAUUCUUGCUCACUUGGGAAUUCUUUCAAUGGCAUACCUGCUUUUCCCAUGAACUGAUGACCUGCAAUAUACAACGCCAUGUCCCUCAAAACAUCAUGCAUCUUAACUCCAUCAUUAUCAAUAAGAAAUGUAGCCCUCUCUAAUAGGCAAUUACUUUCAAGCUUAUUUAAAAUGCUAUAACCUCUAUGAUGCAUUGCUUCUUUGGUCUGUAAGCCAUCAAGGAGUCCCUCAUCUAUCCAAUUUUCAAUUAAUUCCACUUUUCUAAUUAUAUAAUCUUCAGGAUAUAGGGAGCAAUAUAAGAAACAAUUUUGGAUUUUUGGAUCUCUCAAAUGGUCAUAACUGAACUUCAAAGGCUCAUAUACUUCGAUAUCCAAUUCUUUCACACUUUCCACACGCUCUUCUAAUUCAAUUAGUGCAUUCUUCCACUCACAAAAAUCAUCUACCUCUUUCAUGCUACCGGCUAUUGUCACAAUACUAAGUGGUAAACCGCCACAUUUCUCAACAAUUUUGUCGACAAUGUCCUUUAAAUUUUGAUCUUGUACAACUCUACGCCCCACGUGAUCUAAGAAUAAGUUCAUGGACUCAUUCUUUGGAAGCAGUUGCACUUUGACCACCUCACAACCCAUAGACUUACAGACCUCAAUCGAUCUGCUAGUGAGUACAACUUUCCUUCCCAUACCUAAUGUUGGUUCAAGGAUUCCCAAAUCUAAUAGAGAAAAUCGUUUCCAAACAUCAUCUAAGAUCAACACAUAUCUCUUUUCCUCCAAAAUAUCCUUUAAUUUUGCAGCUCGUUGCAAUACAUCCGUUGGAAGAGCUUGUUUCAAAGAAUUUGCAAUAUCUUCUUGCAAUUUGAAAAUAUUCAAUUCUUUUGAUACGGUGACCCAUAUCACUUGAUCAAACAGAUUAUCCUUCAACAAUUGAUUAUUGAUAUGCUUCAUAAUGGUAGUUUUCCCUAUGCCACCCAUUCCACAUACUCCAAUCAUUCUAACCUUAUCACCCAUCAAAUACUUCCAAAUUUGUUCUUUUACAUCGAUUUCACCUUCUAGAUUUGGUGUUAGUAAUGUCACCCCAGUGGCUGGAGGCCCAUCAACUGCCACACCAUCAGGGAAACUACCUUGUUGGUAAAUUUUGUUUACCUUUUCAAUAUUUUCGCAAACAAAACUUCCUAGAUGACCACGUGACAAGAAUGAAACAGAACGGAACUCCUCUUCGAUGGUUUUCACUUCAUUGCCUACAUUUUCUACAUCUUUGAGCCAGUUCGCCACUUCUUUCUUCAUCUUUUUCCCACAACGUUCCUCUGCUUCCAUUUUUAAUUCAAGGUCUCGCUUUCGAGAAUUUAGACUAUUUACAUUUCCUCGAAGCUCAUUCAUAUAAUCUUCAAGUUUCCGAUGAUGAUUUAUGUAUGGACCCCCAAAGCUCCUUAUCACUUCAACAAAUGACAAUAUCCAAUCCAUAUUAUAAGCUCACUGCAAUUUAAAAACCCAACGUAUGUUAAGAUUCUUGCUUCACUUGUUAUGUUUGAGUAUAACAAAGAUAAAAUUGUUAAUGAAGCUUUGUUUCAAUGGUAAGGAAGAUGUGUAAGUUCGAUAUUACUUUUAUGCUAGUUAUUUAUUUAUUUAUUUUAUUGAUAAUUUGUUCAUUAUUUUUUACACUGAACGUAAUCAUUUGUUUUAUUAUGACUGUAAUUUGUACUUGUUCAUGUAAUAUAAAAAAAUAUAUAUAUAAAAAAGCAUUUUUGUUUUUAACUAAAAUUCUGAAUUUCUGGUGUUUGAUUAAUUAGUAAUGAGUUGUUUAAUUACUAUAUUUCUUAAAUUCUGUUUUAGAAUAUCGGGUGAAGCAUCUGUAAUACUUUUAUAAACCAUUACCAAAUGUUUUAUUCCUUCUACCUUAUUUUUUAUAUUUUCCUUCAAAAUUUCCUUAAUAUUCCACUUUCAAGCAAAACUAAGUAAAUAUAAACCAUAAAUAAUUAAUAAAUGAUUUAUUUUUCUUUCUCCCCUGUUGAUAACUAUCAAAAAUUCUUGGAUAUUAAUUACAUCAUCAAUAAAAGGAGGGAUAAAGAAGAAACACUAAUUUUCAAUAAAGAUAAACAUCAAAGGCACUAAAGAAUAUUAAUUAAUAUUUUUUUGAACAGUUCUAAAAAAUUUCAAUUAUGGAUUAAUAUAAUCUAAAUAUAAGUAAGGAAGUUUGUGAAAACAACAAUAUAUCCCACAAAGACAUUAAGAAAUAAUUGCAGGAAUAAAUUGUGAGAGUAAUGACCUUCAGGAUAUAUACCUGGCUUGUUCUUCAAAUUAUUCGGAAAGAUGAAACCCAAAGGUCAGUUAAAUGAUCCACAAACCUCCUUGUCUCUUUGUUAAGCACAACCUUCUUAGGCAGAAGAAAGAAGCUGGCAUAAAAUUAACAAGGAAAAUUAGUAGUGUUAAUAAAAGUGAAAAUCUAAUGUGGUAUAGUCUUCAGAGUUAUUUGCCUAAAUAAGAAAAUAGAGGACACAAAACAAAGAACCAAAAUAAUUAAGUGGAAGGAAAGAUGAUGAAUUUAAGAUUCCAGAAAACAUGAACCCAAAUCUAUAUUAAACAGUUUAAUUACCUGGUCAAGUGAGGUAGAUGAGGUGGUACUUGUAUCCUUAGAGGGUCUUAAGUCUGUGAAAGCAGGAAACUAAGAUCUCUGUUAAAUUUGUGAAGAAAACAGCAACAAGCAGAUCUCCUCCCAAACUAUUAUCUAUGAGAAGAAAAUGAAUAAUGAAGCACAUGAAUUAUUGAAAAGUGGACAAGGUAAAUAUUUAUGUGGAAACUAAAAUAAAUGCCCAACUUGUGUUGGAAGGUAUGGUAAGAUGAAUUUAUGUCAUAAGUUAAGAUUCUGAUUAAUUACUGCUACCAAAGAUAAACAUAAAUCACACAAAUAUAAACAGUUUACCUGGUUCACGGAGACAGUGAACUGAUUCUUCUGUCGUUAGAAGGUCUUUGUUAAAUUUGAGAAGCAAGCACACUCAGGAAAUAUAGCAGCAAUAAGCAGAUGAUCUCCGUGAGAAGAGAAUCGAUGAAUUGUGAAGCUAAAAGAAUUAAGAGCUGGCAAGUCAAUGCAAAGUCGUCGCACAAAUUGUACAUUCACUUUCCUUGAAGUUGUUUCACAGUAAUGCAAAUGUAAAUUCACUUUCCUUGAAGUUGUUUCACGGUAAUGCAAAUGUGAAUAGAAGAAAAACUGACAAAGUAGGACUGAAUUAUGGGGCCACUUGUCCUACUUUCCACUCCUUCAUUAUUGUCCUUCUUGUCUUCUGUUUGGCAAUAAUGCAAGUAUGAAUUUAACAGAUGCCCUGGAUUAAGAAACUUAUAACUUUAAUAGAAGUUUAUAAUUUAAGAAGUGAAUUAGUCUAACCAAAAAACUGAACAAUUAUUUUUUUGUUGCUGAUAACAAAGGUUUGAUUAUACACAGAAUGUAAUAAGUUAUGAUCUCCUAAAUUUAGUCCAUCUUAUAAGUGCUUGAAUUCAUAUAUACUAAUGUCCUCAGUCUUGAAUUCUUUUCUUAUUGCUGAUAACAAUGGUUUACUUAUGUUCAGAAUGAAAUAGGUUAUGAUCUCUUAAAUGGAGUCCAUUUUAUAAGGAGACAGGAAAGAAAGAGCCCUGUGUUUGAUGGCAGUGAGGCAACCAGAUUGAUUUUCCACUAAUUAGCCACAUCAGAUUACUAUGUAUAGCCACUAAGUCAAGUGAAGCAACGAUCUCCUAUCAAGAAAAUAACAAACAGCACAUCUCCUGGCAAAUUAACUCAUCUAUAAUGACAAGAGAAUGAAUUAAUAAUUUAAAAGUGGGCAAGUCAAUGCAAGUCAUGAUGUUGGUUUCGGGGUCACUUCCCUUAAAGCUGCUUUAAAAUAAAGCAAAUAGGAAUCGAAUAAAAGAUGAUAACGUGAGAGUGAAUACUGCUUCAUAUUUCUUAAAGACACAAUCAUGUAAGCUAUUUCGUUCAGUGCCUGGAUCAUAUGUAUGCACAUGUGCAUGCAUAGGACCAACUUUAAAACGAGCCCUGUCAAUCAUAGAUUAUAUCAUUCGUGAUAUAAUCUGAUGAAUAACAGGUGAUAUAAUCUGAUGAAUAACAGGUCAUUGCCAAUAUCACAAGAGUUAUUGAUAAAAACUAAAACUUGGGAAAUGUUGACAAGUAUUUGUAUAUUUAUACUAUACACAGAAAAGACUCAAGAAGGUCUUUGUUAAAUUUGAGAAACAAGCACAGUCAAGAAAAAUAGCGGCAAUAGCAACAAGCAGAUGAUUUCAGUGAGAAGAGAAUCCAAUAAUUAUGAAGCAAUAAGAAUUACAAGUCAGCAACUCAAUGCAAAGUCGUCGCAGAAGCUGUAAAGUAACUUCCCUUGAAGCUGUUUCACAAUACUGCAAAUGUGAAUUGAAGAAAAACUGACAAAGUAGGACUGAAUUAUGGGGCCUACUCUCCUCCAUCAUUGUCCUUCUUGACUUCUGUCGCGAUAAAGAAAAUAUGAAUUGAACAAAAACUGACAGACUAGUAUUAUUGUCCUCGCAACUUUCUUUCACAAGGGCACCCAUUUUUAUGUCCUAAGGCAAAGACCAAAAUUAUCUGGGAACAAUCAAAGAAAGUUGUAUGUCCUUUGCUACUUGCUAGCUAUCUUGACUAAUAUUGUAUGUAACACUUAUUAUUUUCUAUAAAUUUUUACAUAAUAACAAAUUUGAUGUAAAGUUCAUUAGUUAAUGGUACGUUAAUUCACUUGAUCGAUAACUAAUUAAAAUGUGAAAAGUGUAAUUUUAUUAAUUCCGUAGAAUUAUUUUAGUGAAGUUUCUAAGUAUAUCAUCUAAUCCGGUAUCUAGCAUCAUUAUUUCUACUUUUUUUUUUCCUUUUGUAUAAGUAUAUCGAUAACCAACAAUUAUUUUCAGGGUUGUUUAACAUACUAUGGCCACUGUCAUGCAUUGCUAUGUCUAGUCUAUAAUUCAUGGAGGAAUCCCUCCUCGGUUCAUUUCUCUAUUUUACUCUAUUCUUUCAAUUUUGCAGUCUUCAUGAUAUAAGAAGCAAUAGAAAAAAUAAUUUUGGAAUUUUGAGUCUUCCAAAUGAUCAAAAUUACACACACUACAACAAAUUUGACUUAAAACAGCACAUUUUAUAAAUGUGUUACUAAAAAUAUUUUUAAUAACACUUUUUUUAUGUUUUUUAGAACAGCUUUUUAGAUCUAAUUUUACUAUAUACAUUUUUAGAUGCAUUAUCAAUAAAAUGUAACAAUAGAAAUUAUAUACACUAACAAAUGUUGCAUUUUACUGUACAAAAAAUAUAUCGUCCAAACAAGUGUGGUUAAAACUUAAUUUUUUUGCUAUUACAUCAAACACUCAAAUAUUUCAACAUCUUAUCUUCUCACACUUUUGACCCGUUAAUUCAUUUAAUGCAUCCUUCCACUCACAAAUAUAUGUCAUUUACUCCAUGCUACCUAAUAUUGUCAGAAUGGCGUGUCUUUGCCAAAUACUUCUAAUAGGCCCUAACUGAUUAGGCAAAACAUAUCUUCAAAUUGGAAUAAUUAAGGGAUUGGACUUAUCUACAAGAACCAACAUCUGAAGUUGCAAGGAAUAUAAUCUUACUCCAAAAUGGAAUUUGUAAUUAUAGAGUCUUACAAAUGCUAAUUACAUAGCACAAAUUAAUGAUCAGAUAAUGCAGUCUUCCUAGAUGGAUGAUUUGAAUAUGAGAAUUAUGAGCUGAGUACAGUGGAGAUUUUUCCUCACAUUUUUCUAUAAUAUUAUUUAUGAGCAGCCUUAGCUUCAUAUAUUAUCAAUUAGUGCAUGGGAAGCUUUGAAGAACAUUAUGAGACAAUUAGUAAGUAUUCAUAACUAUAUAGAAAAGAAAGGAUAGCUUCUAUAUGAAGCAUUUUGCUUGCAAAAUACAUGCAGGGUGCCACAUGAUUGGAUAUUUCAGUUGUAUGGAUAUUUGAAGUCCUAGGAUAGCAAUUGUUUGGGAAGAAAGAAUUUCUGAGAAACUUUCCUCAAUGUUGACAGGGACUUUUCAUAUCAUCUGUUAUGACAAUUUGACUUCCACUAACCCUCACCACUUUCCCCAUUUUUUUGGGUAAUAAAAAGAAGUUGAUUUUUUCCAACUUAAAUUGAGGUAUUUGACAGGCUACUGAUGAUCUAAAAGACUUCACUAUCCAAUUGCAUGGGCCUCAGGGCACAAUUUGAACAUCAAAUACAAAAUUCAACCUGGUUGAGCUCCCAACUGUGUAAAGAAAAAAUCAAUUAAAUAUUGUUCAAUUCUUGCUUGUAACGUCUGCAGAUUGUAUAUGAGACUGAUGGAGUAAUAAAUAUGUCUAACCCAGAGAAAUCAUGGAUUAAUCAACUCGUUCUUUUAAAAGGGAAGGCAUCACAUUAGUUCAUCUACUAACUAAACCUUUACAAGCGGAAUAUUGGAUUAAAGUUAAAACAAGGGAUCUCUCUUUGAUAUAAACUAGUCCUAAAGAAUUUAUAGGAUAAUUGAGAGAUUGAAUACUGAAAUUGAAGAAGUCCAAACUUUUGUUUGGCAUAUAUUCAUAAACCAGCAUCUUUUCCUCUCCUUCAAUGCAACAUCCCAGGAGCUUUACAAGAUUUCGAUGUUGAAGCUUGGCAAUUAGUGCUACUUCAUUUUUGAACUCAGUUAAACCUUGUCCAGAGCUUCUUGAAAGCCUCUUCACAGCGAUCUCUUGUCCAUCUACCAGGUUACCCUGAAAAAAAUGUACUUUAAAGAGUUGUAACUUUGUUCUAAACAUACUUCAUACUUUGUCUUCUGAUCAAUUUCACCAGAAUGUUGCAAAUUUACCCUGUAUGCAUGCCCAAAACCACCUUGUCCUAGUUUGUUGUCAAUGGAGAAAUCAUUGCUUGCUUCGGAUACUAAUGAUAAGUCGAAUAACUGGACUUCUGAGUCUUCGCUUUGCCCUUCAGUGCUCCUGUCCUUUAUCACAUGGUUUUCUCUAGCCCCUGAAACAUUUUAGUACAUACUAACAUUAGCCAUAGAAGGCUAUAUCAUGUUGGUCAAUUGUAUUUCUGAACAGACUAGGGAAGUUGGUAAUUAGUAUUCUAAAACAUAGUGAAAACAUGAUUUGUGAAAGCAAAUGGAUCAGAUAGUGUUACCUUAUAAACAGCUCCAAAACCACCUUCCCCUGGCUUGUUGUCCAUAGAAAAGCUAUGAGUAGCAAGCGCAAAUAUUGCAAGCUCCAAGUCUUCAUCCAGGCCUUGAUUUUCUGAAUCAUUUUCCUUAUUGUUUUCUGUUUCUCUGAAAUAGUAGUCAAAAUAGGCUUUUUAUUCACCAUAAAAUAUGCAUUCUAAUUGAGCUAGAUAACUGAACAUAAAACUCAUUUUUCACACCAAUAAGCAUUGAAAACUACUUAUUUUUUGAGAAAAAAAAAACAUUAUUCCAAUGAACUGGCAAACAAUCUAAUUUACUUCUUUUGAAGAAACUGCAUGUGGAUAAGUGGAUUAGGUAGCAUCACUAUUAACAAGGUAAUUUUUUUUGUUUAUUUAGCUAAGGAAUUGAAUGACAUAUUUGUGAAGGAUAUGUCAAAAUUACCUUUCAACUUUCUGCGGACUCUGUAAAUGUAAUAACUGAUUAUAAACAGCCCCAAAAGUGCAACACAGCGGUUUUGCAAUAGAUGCAACAAGCUUCAACCUUGGCUUAUCGCAUCCAAGCUUGGCUUUCUGCAUUCCAUGUGUAGCCUUGUAUCAUCAGUUUGGUUAGGAGCAAGUCCUGUGAUCAAUGAUUUCUAUUUGAGACAUUUUGGAUGGUUGACAUAUAAAAUACAAACACCAGGUGGGUUGAUCAUGCAUUGUUUUUAUGAGAUGAUGUGAUUGACUGACUCUUGAUCAAUGAACUGUACACAAAGUGCAGCAGAAAACAAUUUAUAAACAUUGAGAUUCCAGAUAAUUACUUGUAUUGAAUAAUUUCCAAUUCAUCAACCAUUUCACACCAGUAGACAUUUUCAUUAAAAGCACAAGGCACAAGCAUCAGCUGGGAAUGCAAUUACUUGAUUAUUAAAACAUAACUCAAAGCAUAGUCUUACGAACAGUAUAUAAACAGAGUUUGUAGCAUGGGAGAUGUGAGGAUACAACUCCCUAACCAACCUUUAACAUCGAUAUGGUUAUUUCAUUCUACAUGCCCACAGCAAAUGGAAAAGGAAACAAUAAUGUCUAAUCAAUCUUACUUGUUCAACAAGGAUUUGAAGGAUAACAGCUAAAUCAAUAAAUUGGCGUUGAAUUAAGUUAUAAGAUUUUGAUCACAAACAGAGGAAGUCCUCUCAUAAAUGAAUCAAACAAUAUUUAUGGCAAGUGAGGCAUGCUUGGUGCUGUUAAAGAUUUGCUUAUGAUUGAAUAAUCCUAUUAACUACUAACUUGUUCAUAAUGUUUUUAAACUAGCAUUUUUUAAAUAAUGCUAGUUUAAAAUAUGACCAUAUAUAUAUAUAUAAGAAAAAGAAUACUAUGGACCCUAAAUAUUACUUUAAUCAUUUUAUUAUAUCUUUUAACAUUUUAAUUCAUAAUAAUUUAAAGAUUUUAUUUACGUGUUAGAGUUCUCUUAUUAUUUUAUUUAUGUAUAUAGAUUUUUUUUCUUUUUAAAUUUGAAAAAAAUUUCAAACCUGGCUUGUAAUAUGUCAGUGAAAAAGAAAAUAAAGGGAUGUAGGCAAAGAGCUUAAUUAACUCUUUUGAAGAAACUGCAUGUGGAUUUGCUAGCAUCAAUAUUAACAAAGUAAUUAUUUUUUUGUUUAUUUAGCAAAGAAGCAAAAUAAGCAUAUUUGUUAAGGGUAUAUCAAAGUUACCGUUCAACUUUGCAUUGCCUCUGUAAAGGUAAUGACCGACUGUAUACAACCCCGAAAGCACAGCAUAGUGGUGUUGCAAUUACUGCAGGAAGUUUUAUCCUAGGCUUAUCUUUCAAUUCUGUAUGGCGAAAUUUGAUAAGGAAAAGCAUACAUGAACAAAAAUGAAAAAAGCAGCGAAAACAAGAGAAAAUGCAGACUCAUACCUGAUUCUGAAGCAGACACUCUUAACAUAUAGAUCCUGCCCUUUUGAUUCAAAUUGUCUGCAAUCAAUCAGAUUAUCAAACCAAAGGGCCCAACCACUACCUCUUCCUCUAUUAUCUGAACUAGUGUAUGCCAUAUAGGAAUAGUUCUGUAGAUACUUAGCCCUGCAUCCCUUGAGAUUCAUAGUUUUAGUCACCCAAGAAUGUGUAGCAUCUGGCAUUUUUAAAUCCUUUAAAUCUAAUAAAUCCAUCUCUGCUUUGGCAGUUGAAUGGCUUGUUGUGCUUACACCCUUGGCACCAGUCUGAUGAGUUCUGUCUUUUAGGGAAUUCAGGCUUAAACAUCAGCUUUCAGGGAAUUAAGGCUUGAAUCCUUUAAAAAGUGGAAGCUGAGCACCAUCACAAUUCCCUUUUGAACCACAAAGUCCAUAUCUAUCAAAGUAGUCUCUUGAAGCAAAUGACAGAAGCAUCCAAGCUUGCUUUCUGCAUUUCAUGUGUAGUCCUGUGAUCAAUGAUUUCUAUUUGAGACACUUUGGAUGGUUGACAUAUCAAAUAGAAAUGCCAGGUGGGUAGAUCAUGCGUUGUUUUUAUAAGAUGAUGUGAUUGACUGACUUUUGAUGAAUGAAGCAUACACAAAGUGCAGCAGAAAACAAAUUAUAAACAUUGAGCUUCCAGAUAAUUUGUAUUUCUCAAUAAUAUGAAGCUUAUUCCUCUAAUCAUUCUCUUCAUUGGACGAACAUAACUUCAAUGACUUACUUGUAUUAAAUGAUUUCCAAUUCAUAAACCAUUUGAGACUUUUUUUUCUCACAUCUGAUAGGUUGCAGGAUAGUCCCAAGAAUUGAUCACCAAGUUCAACAGGGUGCCUUCCUUCCUCCCAUAAUCUCCGAGCCUGCAGCAAAUUGAAAACCUUUUAGUCAUUUUAUUAUAUCUUUCAACAUUUUAAUUCAUAAUAAUCGAAGUAUUUUAUUCAAGCGUUAGAGUUUUAUUUAUAGUAGUAAUUAAUUAUUAUUAUUAUUUUUGUAGAUAGAGUGUGUUUUUUUUUCUUUCAAAAUUUGAAAAAAAUUAAAACCAAGUUUGAAAAAUGUGAGUGAAAAUGAAAAUAAAGGAAAGAGAUGGGCAGGUGUAAUAGGAGGGGAUGUAGGAGGUGUUAGAUGGCAAUUGGUGGAGAAAUGCAGAUUGAAGGGUGUUGAGUUUUAGAUUUUGGUAUUAUUCAUAAAACUAAAGACUUGGUUUUGUUUUGAUAUUAAAAAAAAGUAAUUAUUUAGCAAAUGAGAAAUUAAGAGAUAAAAACUCACAAUUAAUGUUUGUGGUUCUUAACAAGAAGCAAGAGCCUUAUAGCCACAUUUAAUCAAACACCUCUUCUCCAUCUCACUCUACCAAUCAAAAUAUCGAAGAAAGGGAGAAAGGACAUUCUUAGUGUGCUAUCCAACAACCCACAUCUGAUGUGAAUGCGAUUGUUAAGACCUAUAUAACAAUUCAAGUUCACCAUUACUAGCAACUUGAGCUUAAACUUUUGAGGGCUACGUGGUUUAGGCCCAAAAAGUUACUAGGCCAAUGGUUGGACUUGGGUCGUUACAAAUGGUAUCAGAACUUGCACCAGUCCGAUGUGAACUUUCACAUUGCUCUGGUGAGAUCUUGGUCCCGUGGAUGUGAUGUGUGGCCUUGAUGAGGACAUCAAGGAUUUGAGUGGGUGGGAUUGUGAUAUCCAACAUCCUACAUCUGAUGUGAAUGUGAUUGUUAAGACCUAUAUAACAAUCCAAGUCCACCAUGGACUUGGGUCGUUACACUUAGCAUCAAGUUGAUCCCAUUCCACUGAUUCCCACCAUUCUCUCGGGCCUAUUCUAAUAUAUUCUAGAGAAGGAGGAGAUGGUUUCCCAUUUUCAACAAGGGGAAGAGACAAAGGGAUCCUCUUUACUUCUGGACAUCUCUCUAUUUGAAGAUAUUGGAGAGAAUCUGCAGGAAUCAUAAGUCCACCACUGUAAAUGCUUUUCAGUUUUGGUAAAUUUCCCAAGAUUAAUGAUUUUAAUUUGGGAAGAAUAAAUGUUGUUCCUUCUUCUUUGUGAUUUUCUUCUAACGCUAUUAUUUCCUCCAUUUCUUCACAACAUUCAACGAAAAUUUUCUCUAAGUUUGGGAGGCCUUGCAACUGCUCAACUGGAAACAACUUCUUCAUCUUCGAACAAAAGCUCAUCAUCAAUAAUUUAAGAGAAGAGAAGAAGGUAGGUGGUGUUGGAGCAUGAGAGGUAGAUUCAAUUUCAACCGCUACUCCUACUCGUACUCUCACAACUUCACACAAGUUUAGCAAGUCAAGUAGUUGUAGCACCUCAAUGUUGUGAAGUGCGUUGCAAGACGGUAAUGACAAGUCAACCACACACUCCAUCCCUUCACACUCCGAAAUUUGACAUUUCUUCAAGUCAGGUGCCUUACGAAACAAAGGAAUGUGGCUUAAACAUUUGAAAUCAUUACACCUCGCAAAACAAAAAGUAUGAAGGUCAUUUGGGAGCAUUAUUUCAUCACACCUCUCUAUCUCCAAAUUUGAGACAUCAACCAUUUUCUCAAUUUCUUUGAAAUAUGGGGAAUGCAUAAUAUGAAUAUUACUAGGUGGUCCCACUUGAAAAAUGAAAGACAUAGGCCAUUUACCUUGUGUAGACUCUGCAUAUUUCUUAAACUCUUGCAUGUCACAAAUGAACAUAAAACACACUCAAGCUUCCUCAAUUUGCCUACUUCUUCCCCCCUUAAAUUUAACUGUACUAGUAAGCAUUGCAGAUGAGAAAUCUUCAGCAAUAUUCCCAUUGGUAGCUCCUUUAGAUCGCUUGACCGUAGACCAAAAUAUCUAAGGUUUUGUAACAUUUCUAUACCCUGAGGUAACUCUUCAAUUUUUGUAUUCCAAAGGUCCAAGUUUCUCAGUGCUUUGAGCUUUGCUAAUGAAGGCACAUAUUCUAACCUGAGACAAUAAGCAAGCAUCAAUGCAUUGAGAUUUUUCAAGUUAGAGAUGGAAUUAGGUAAAUCCACAAUCUCAUGAUUACGAGAAAGAUCUAGAACUUUUAGCCCAGGCAUGUGCUUAAAGAAAGAUUCUGGAAUUCUUUUUAAGCCACAUUGUUGCAAUAUCAAAGUUGACAAAUGAGGACAUUCGGGUGAUAUGUGAGGAGGGAUUUCUAUUAAUUUUGAAUUUUGCAUCAAAGAAACCUUUUCAACACUCACUGUCCAUUCUUGCUCACUUGGUAGUUCCUCCAACUGCACAUUGGCUUUUACUAUGAACUGAUGACCUUUAAUAUACAAUGCCAGGUCUCUCAAAACAUUAUGCAUCUUAACUCCUUUGUCAUUCCAAGUUGUAGCCCUUUCUAGCAAGCAAUUAUUUUGAAGCUUAUUUAAAAUGCUAUGGCCUCUAUCAUGCACUUCUUGUCUAGUCCUUAAGCCAUCAAGGAGUCCUUCAUCUAUCCAAUUUUCAAUUAAGUCAACUUCUUCAAUCACAAAAUCUUCAGGAUAUAAGGAGCAAUAUGAGAAACAAUUUUGAAUUUUUGGAUCUUUCAAAUAGUCAUAACUGAACUUCAAACGCUCAAAUAUUUCAACAUCUGAUCCUUUCACACUUUUCACACGCUCUUCUAAUUCAGUUAAUGCAUUUCUCCACUCACAAAUAUCAUUUACCCCCUUCAUGCUUCCAGCUAUUGUGACAAUGUUAAGUGGUAAACUGCCACAUUACUCAACAAUUUUGUUGACAAUGUCUUUUAAAUUUUGAUCUUGUACAACACUAUGCCCCACAUGUUUUAAGAAUAAGUUCGUGGACUCUGUCUUUGAAAGCGGUUGCACUUUGAUCACCUUACAAUCCAUAGAUUGAUAGACCUUAAUCGAUCUGCUAGUGAGUACAACUUUCCUCCCCAUAUCUAUUAUUGGUUCAGGGAUACCCACAUCCAAUAGAGAAAACCGUUUCCAAACAUCGUCUAAGAUCAAAACAUAUCUCUUUCCCUCCAAAAUAUCUUUUAAUGCUGAUGCUCGUUGCAAUUCAUCAUCUUUUAAAAGAGAUUGUUUCAAAGAAUCUGCAAUAUCUUUUUGCAAUCUAAAAAUAUUCAAUUCUUUUGAUACAGUGACCUAUAUCACUUUAUCAAAGUUCUCACUUUCCUUUAACAAUCGAUUGUUGAUAUGCUUCAUGAUGGUAGUUUUCCCUAUACCACCCAUUCCACAUACUCCAAUCAUUCCAACCUUAUUACCCAUCAAAUACUCCCAAAUUUGUUCUUUUACAUCGAUUUCACCUUCUAGAUUUAGUGUUGGUAACAUCACCCCGGUGGUUGGAGGCCCAUCAACUGCCACACCGUCGGGGAAACUACCUUUUUGGUGAAUUUCCUCUACCUUUUCAAUCAUUCGGCAAACAAAUUUUCCAAGACGACCACGUAAGAAGCAUGAAAUAGCAUGGAACUUGGAUUCAAUCUUUUCCAUUUCAGUGUUUACCUUUUCUACAGCUUCAAACAAGUACUCCACUUCUUCCCUCACCACUUUUCUGUGACGAAGCUCCUCUUCCUUUCUUGAUAUGAGGUCUCUUUUUUGGAUAUUUAAAACAUUCACUUUUUCUCGAAGAUCAUUCAUAUGUUCUUCAAGUUUUCGUUGAUGGUGUAUAUAUGUACAGGUUGGACCACCAAAGCACUUUAUCACUUCAAAAAUUGGCCCUAUAAGCUCCAUAUAAGCUAUUCCCUAGAGAUUAAAAACCAAGAUAUAUUAGAUCUCCAUAUGACAUAAGCUACUCCGUCCCUCCCUAAACUACAAUUCUAUAUUUUUCAUAUAAUAUAGAAUAUGUUAGAAAAAAAUGUUACUAAUUAAAAUUUUUUUACCAAUUCUUAAGAAAAAACAUAAUAUUUUUGAAAACAUUAUUAAAAACAAGAAGUUUUUGUUUCAUCAUCUUUGAGUAUAAUAUUUACAUUUCCAACAAUAUUUAUAUCUAGAUGAAUGUAUUCAUUUUUCCCCUUAAAAAACCAUCGCAAAUUCUUGAAUAUAUUAUAUCUAUAUGGUUCCUAGUUUUGAUCAUUACAACAUUAAUAAAAGGAUGAUGAGAAUGGAGAAAUCAAUUUACUAUAAAUAUAUAAAUGACAAAAUUUUUUAUAAAAAAAGGAAUCCAUUUAAAGUUGAUAACUUGCGUUUCUAACAUGUAUACAUAUUAAAUAAAUGUACCUGUGAAAGAAUCACAGGUACUAGACGAAAAGUAUCCAGUUCUUUAAUAUAUUUAUUUAAAUUGUAUUAUUCUGUAUGACAGAUUCUCCUUUCAAGUAUUCUGUUAUAAACUUUUGAAAUUAAUCUGAAUUUAUAAUUUACAAAGAGAAAAUUAUGUACCCUAGUCUUGAAAUCUUUCCUUGUUGCCGAUAUAGAAAGAUUUGACAAUGUACAUAAUGACAUGAAGUGCCCUGUUUUUUGAUGGAGCUUUAGCAUCAAACUUCAAUUAGCUGAGUUAACCAGAUUGUUAGUUCCUUGAUUGAUUUUCCAAUUAACGAGCCAUAUCAGAAUAUUAGACUUGAGAAAUGGAAUUUUGACUUCUAAGGUCCUAAAAAAGAUUAAUUCACAAAAUACAUAAAAAUAAAAUGUACAAGAUGACGAUGAAAAUCAUUUGUGUAAAGAUAUUGAUGCUGUAUGACAUAUAAUUUUGCUUUUGGUCAAAUAUUGAAAUAUCGUAAGGAACAACGCGUUGAGCUUCCAACAAUGUGUCAGUCAUUUCAUUGGUUGAAGAAGACUUUAAAUGUUUUAACCCCAAAUUACUAUUCAUAACACGUUUUCAUUAAAUAUAUCAGAGAUCAGCUUUUUUCGUUUUGUCCCAAUUUUCUUGGUUUUCACUUUUCAGUGAAUUAAAGACCUAAAAAAUCUUUGUCAUCAAUGGAUAACAUCAUUGGUGAUUACAUUCGAGCCUUCUAUUAAGUUUAUGUAGCAAAUACAAAUAAGUAAUGGCUUAUCAUGCAUUUUUAGUUUUGUUAUGAUGUGAGGAUUAUAUGAGUCUUCCUCAAUGAAACAUCUGAAAAAGUGCAUGAGAAAAAAAUCAAAACAAUUUACAACUGAUGAGAUUGCACAUUACUCUUUUUUCUGAUUUAUAUGAAGCUUCAGUGCAAUCAUCUUGUCAAUUCUUUGUGAGACAACUAUAGAUAACAGUACCCCCAAAAAGGCACUUGCAGGGUGCUAAGCUUAAACUGGGACUGAACCGUUGGUAUCAAUGCAUAAGGUACAAAACAUACUGAUCAUCCACAGCAUCUAAUAAUGGCUUGGAGAUGAAAGAGUUAAGUAUAUAAUAAUCUGAAAAUUAUAUUUGUUAAUUUUUGUUAAUUGUUAAGUUUAUUUAAAAAUUGAGAUUAUUAUCAUUAUUAAAUUAUUUAUAAUUAUGCUAGUUAAUUCUUUUAAGUAAAUUAUUAAAAAUGAUUCCUUUGAAUAAUUUUCAGAAUUUAUUUAUAUAAUUUUCAUAUAAAUUUUUUCCAUUAAGUUGUUUUAUAUUUUUAGCAAACGUUGGACUUCUCGUUUGAAUGUUUUAUAGACAUUAUCUUCAACUCUUCGCCUCCUCAAACGCCAAAAUACAAACUCAGCCACUGCAUAUAACCACUGCAGAACAUUAUCAAAAGCAAUAAAUAUGUGAGGAUUUGUAGACAUUAUGAAAAUAAAGUGACAUUUACUAAGUACCAACCACUCUUUUUCCCAUCAGUUUGGUCUCCUCCAAAAGUUCUAGCCAGUCCAAAACCUGAAAUUUUUGGAUUCAUAUCACUACCAAUCACAACGUUACUAGCUUUGAGAUCUCUAUAAAUAAAAAAAAACUUUCGAUUUGCUAGCUUUACUAUUAACAAAGUAAUUUUUUUUUUGUUUAUUUAGCAAAGGAACGAAAUAAGCAUAAUUAUGAAGGAUAUAUCAAAGUUACCAUUCAACUUUGCACGACCUCUGUAAAGGAAAUGACUGACGCUAAACGGCCCGAAAAGCACAACACAGUGGUGUUGCAAUUAAUGCAGGAAGUUUUAUCCUAGGCUUAUCUUUCAAUUUUGUAUGAUGAAAUUCGAUAAAGAAAAGCAUACAUGAAGAAACACAAAAAAAGCUGCGAAAUCAAGAAAAAAUGUAGACUCAUACCUGAUUCUGAAGCAGACACUUUAACAUAUAGAUCCUGCCCUUUUGAUUGAAAUUGUUUGUAAUCAAUCAAAUGAUGAAACCAAAGGUCCCAACCACUGCCUCUUCCUCUAUUAUCUGAACUAGUGUAUGCCAUAUAGGAAUAGUUCUGUAGAUACUUAACCCUGCAUCCCUUGAGAUUCAUAGUUUUAGUCACCCAAGAAUGUGUAGCAUCUGGCAUUUUCAAAUUUCUUAAAUCUGAUAAAUCCAUCUCUGCUUUGGCAGUUGAAUGGCUUAUUGUGCUUACACCCUUGGGACCAGUCUUAUGAGUUCUAUCCUUCAGGGAAUUCAGGCUUAAACAUCAUCUUUCAGGGAAUUAAAGCUUGAAUCCUUUAAAAAGUGGAAGCUGAGUACCAUCACAAUUCCCUUUUGAACCACAAAGUCCAUAUCUGUCAAAGUAGUCUCUCGGAGCAAAUGAGGAAAGCAUCCAAGCUUGCUUUCUGCAUUUCAUGUGUAGUUAUGUUAUCAAUUAUUUCCAUUUGAGACACUAUGGAUGGUUGACACAUAAAAUAGAAAGACCAGGCUGGUCGAUCAUCCGUUGCUUUUAUAAGAUGAUGUGGUUGACUGACUUUUGAUGAAUGAAGUAUACACAAAGUGCAGCAGAAAACAAAUUAUAAACGUUGAGGUUCCAGAUAAUUCGUAUUUCUCAAUAAUAUGAAGCUUAUUCGUCUAAGCAUAAUAUAUAUAUUUAGAGUAACCACACUAAUCAUAUCAACUUAAACUUACUCAUAAUUUGCAUGCAACAUAAAAUCACCAAAUCUUAUAUAGAUAAUUUAAACUAUUAAUCUUGUUUAAUUAUAUAUGUAUUCAUCAUUUGAAGUGCUUUAAAAUAUUAAUCAUGAUUAAUUUCAAUAUCUUGGUAUUGAUACAUCACUUCCCAAAUAUGCUUUCCUUUUUUCUUUUUUUCCAUAUAUAGACACUCUUUAAUUAGGAGAUUGUAGCCAGCUAGAUACCAUUGUUGCCAGUCCAAGAGGUGACACUUUGGAGGUUGAAUAGCAUUUUAUUUUCGGGUUUUUUAGUCUUGAGAUGAGUGGCAACAUUAAUUCCUUUGGAUCUGUUGAAUUAGCUUUUGUAUAUAAAAGAAGGUAUCCCUCCUCAAACAUGGCAGAUCCCCUUUCAAACCCAUUAUUUUAAAGAAAAGAAAAUGCUAAUUUAAUAGAAUAGUUGCCAACUAGGGACAAGCUCCAUUGAUGUGACAUUAAUUUUGGUAUAUUCUAACACUUGUUGACUAGAUUCAAUUGGACAGGAUUUUUAAUUUGGAUGAAAUUUAAGGGUAGUGAUUAAACAAUGGAAGUGACAUUGGAGGUUCUAAGUCCCUUUCACCUAAGGGAGAAAUGAGUUUGUUCAAUUGACACAGCUUUGGUACAUACAGAAAGUAAGCUAAUACCAUAGCCAUAUUUCUCAGGUGACUUGCAACAAAUUUGAGACUGAAGUAUGGCAAAAUAUUGGGUAUUUGUAUAAAUUACAAUACAAAUAAAGAAAAAAAAUGAAAGAGACUAAAUAGAAAGGGGAAGUGGAAAGGUCCCCAAAAUCAAUUAAUUGCAAGUGGAAGGAGCAAAGCCCAACUUUGUUGGCAACAAGGUCAUGUUCCCGCAGAUGAUUUUGUUGCAGGGUGUUGUAAAUGAUAUUUACUUCCAGGCUCUGUCUUUUGGCAAAUAGAAGCUGAUAAUGGUUCUCUGGAUCAAGCUCAAAUAUAGCUCCAUCUUCAAUAUGAAUUGCAAAUCCUGGCACUGAUGAGAAAAUCAAGCCUUGUUAUUGCUUUUAAUAAAAGCAAAUAAAAUUUGAAGGGUGUUCAGUUGGGCAAUUACUAGUUCCCAAGUAACAGUUUUAACUGCUACUUUCUUUUACCAAAUUCCCAAGAAACUAUUCUUAGAGCUUCUAGGACUAAGGAACAGACUGGGAGGAGGUGAAGAUAUCGAUUCCAUCAGUAAAACAGUGUUGGUGAACAUGAAAGACAGAAUGUCUUUUUGUUUCAAAUUUCAGAGCUUGUAAGAACUCAUAGAAAAACUUUUCAGUUUGGCAGAUUUUAGAGAGCAAACAUGUUUAAACUGAUGAUCGUUGACUAGUAUGCAAGUCUUCCUUGAAAAGACCAAACUUUUCAGUUUGCGGAGAACUCUUAUUUCUAAUUUUUAUGAUGCUUCAGUGUAGUCAUCUUGUAUUGUCUCUGCGAAUCAUAUAUAUAUACAUAUGACCCCCAAGCAGGCACUUGCAGGGCAUUAAGCUCAAACUGGGACUAAACCACUGGUAUCAAAGCAUAAGAGACAUAAACAUACUGGUCGAUAACUUUUAAUAAUGGCUUGGAGAUGAAAGAGCUAAGUAUACAGUUUGUCAAUUAUCGAGCAUCUAGUACUGACAGAGUUAUUUCAUUUGUGGAAGAAGAUACAUGCUUGUCUGAUGAAGAAUCUUCUUCAAGUGGAUUUUUUUAAAACAAAAUACCAGCUUGUUUGGGGUGUGGCAAUUCAGUUUCACUUCCCAACAUCAGAAUCACAAAUGACGUACUUGGCCUCUCCUCAGGAUGCUGUUGUAAACUUAAAAGACUGAUAAUGGAAGUAUUGUAUCACUUCUGAUAGAUUGCAAAGACUCUCCUAAGCAUUCUUCAACAGGUUUUAAAGGACUGUCUUAUUUCCAUAAUCUCCAUGCCUGCAGCAAAUUGAAACCCUUUUAGGUUUUAUCAAUCCAAGAUAAGCAACAAAAAAUUGAUUAUAAAAAUAUCUGCUGAAACUGACAUGUUCAACAAGGUUGCCGCUCUGUGAUGGAUGGUAAAGCCCUCUAUAUUUUCUUCCCACUUAUUAUCUCCAGCAAUAAUAUACCAAAGCUAAAGAGAUCUGAUUUUACUGAAAGCAGUCCAACAAUAGCAUAUUCAGUGCCAUAUAACCUCUGCAGAACAUUAUCAAGAGAAAUAACUAUCUGAGCAUAUGUAGACAUUAUGAAAAUAAAGUGACACUUACUAAGUUCCAACCACUCUUGCAGUGUUCCCUUCAGUUUGGUUUCCUCCAAAGUUCUAAGCAAUCCAAAAUCUGAAAUUUUUGGAUUCAUCUCACUAUCAAGCAGAACGUUACUAGCUUUGACAUCUCUAUGAAUGAAAAAAAACAUAUUCAAAUGAAAUGGCAAAGAAUCUAAUUAACUCUUUUGAAGAAACUGUGUUUGGAUUUGUUAGCAAAGGAACAGAAUAAGCAUAUUUGUGAAGGAUAUAUCAAAGUUACCAUUCAACUUUGCACGACCUCUGUGAAGGAAAUGACUGACAGUAAACAGCCCGAAAAGCACAACACAGUGGCGUUGCAAUUAAUGCAGGAAGUUUUAUCCUAGGCUUAUCUUUCAAUUCUGUAUGAUGAACUUUGAUAAAGAAAAGCAUACAUGAACAAAAACAAAAAAAGCAGCGAAAACAAGAGAAAAUGUAGACUCAUACCUGAUUCUGAAGCAGACAUUAUUAACAUAUAAGUCCUGCUCUUUUGAUUGAAAUUGUCUAUAAUCAAUCAGAUGAUGAAACCAAAGGGCCCAAACACUACCUCUUCCUCUGUUAUCUGAACUAGUGUAUGCCAUAAGGGAAUAGUUCUGUAGAUACUUAGCCUUGCAUCCCUUGAGUUUCAUAGCUUUAGUCACCUAAGAAAGUGUAGCAUCUGGCAUUUUCAAAUCUUUUAAAUCUGAUAAAUCCAUAUCUGCUUUGGCAGUUGAAUGGCUUAUUCUGUGCUUACACCCUUGGGGUCAGUCUGAUGAGUUCUAUCUUUCAGGGAAUUCAGGCUUAAACAUCAGCUUUCAGGGAAUCAAGGCUUGAAUCCUUUAAAAAGUGGAAGCUGAGUACCAUCACGAUGCCCUUUUGAACCACAAAGUCCAUAUCUGUCAAAAUAGUCUCUUGGAGCAAAUGAGAAAAGCAUCCAAGCUUACUUUCUGCAUUUCAUGUGUAGUCCUGUGAUCAAUGAUUUCUAUUUGAGACACUUAGGAUGGUUGACAUAUAAAAUACAAAUACCAGGUGGGUAGAUCAUGCGUUGUUUUUAUAAGAUGAUGUGAUUGACUGACUUUUGAUAAAUGAAGUAUACAGAAAGUGCAGCAGAAAACAAAUUAUAAACAUUGAGGUUCCAGAUAAUUUAUAUUAUUUAAUGAUUUGAAGCUUAUUCCUCUAAUCAUUCUCUUCACUGGACAAACAUAACUUCAAUGACUUACUUGCAUUAAAUGAUUUCCAAUUCAUGAACCAUUUGAGACCAGUGUGGAUGUGUUGUCUCACAUCUGAUAGGUUGCAGGAUAGUCCUAAGAAUUGAUCACCAAGUUCAACAGGGGUGCCUUCGUUCCUCCCAUUAUCUCCAAGCCUGCAGCAAAUUGAAAACCUUUUAGUCAUUUUGUUAUAUCUUUCAACAUUUUAAUUCAUAAUAAUCAAAGAAUUUUUGAAACAUGCGAGUGAAAAUGAAAAUAAAGGAAACGGGUGGGAAGGUGUAAUAGGAGGGGAUGUAGGAAAUGUCACAUAGCAAUUGGCGGAGAAAUGCAGAUUGAAGGGUGUUGAGUUGGAGAUUUAUUUUUAUAUUAAAAAAUAAAAAAUUAAAGACUUGGUUUUAUUUUGAUAUUAAAAAAGAGUAAUUAUUUAGCAAAUGAGAAAUUCGGAGAUAAAAAUAAACUCACAAUGUUUGUUUGCAGUUUUUAAUAAGAAGCAAGAGCCUUGCAACCACAUUUAAUCAAACACCUCUUCUACAAUUCAGACAUAAAGCUAGCCUUGUACCAUCCAAAAAAUAUUCAACAAAGGGAGAAAGGACAUCCUUAGCAUCAGGCUGAUCCCAUUCCACUGAUUCCCACCAUUCUCUCGGCCAUACUGUGAUUCCUUUUAGAGAAGGAGGAGGAGAUGGUUUCCCAUUUUCAACAAGGGGAAGAGACAAAGGGAUCCUCUUUACCGCUCUACACCCCGAUAUGACAAGAUGUUGGAGAGAAUCUGCAGGAAUCAUAAGUCCACCGCUACAAAUGCUUUUCAAUUUUGGUAAGUUAAUCAAGAAUAAUGAUUUUAAUUUGGGAAGAAUAAAUGUUGUUCCUUCUUCUUUCUGAUUUUCUUCUGAUGCUAUUAUUUCCUCCAUUUCUUCACAACCUCGGACAUAAAUUUCCUCUAAGUUUUGGAGGCUCUUCAACGGCUCGAUUGUAAGCAACUUCUUCACCCUCGAACAACCAAUCACAUAUAAUUGUUUAAGAGAAGAGAAGGCAGGUGGUGUUGGAGCAUGAGAGGUAGAUUCAAAUUCAACCGCUACUCCUACUUCUACUCCUACUCUCACAACUUCACGCAAGUUGCGUAAGAAACAUAGUUGUAACACCUCAAUGUUGUGAAGUGCGUCGCAAGACGAUAAUGACAAGUCAACCACACACUCUAUCCCAGAACACUUCCUAAUUUGACAUAACUUCAAGUCAGGUGCCUUAUGAAACAAAGGAAUAUUGCUUAAACAUUUGAAAUCAUUACACUCCUCAAUAAGUAAAGGGUGAAGGUCAUUUGGGAGCACUAUAUCAUCACACCUCUCUAUCUCCAAAUUUCUAAAUUCAACCUUUUUCUUAAUUUCUUUGAAAUCUGGGAAUCCCCGAUAUAAAUACCCUUAAGUGGUCCCACUUGAAAAAAGAAAGAUGGAGGCCAUUUACCUUGUGCAGACUUUACAUAUUUCUUAAACUCUUGCAUGUUGCGAAAUGAACAUGAAACCCACUCAAGGUUCCUCAAUUUGCCCACUUCUUCCCCUCUUAAAUGUAACUCUCCCAGCAAGCAUUGCAGAUGAGAAAUCUUCACUAAUAUUCCUAUUGGUAGCUCCUUUAGAUGCCUUGACCUUAGACGAAAAUAUCUAAGGUUUUGUAACAUUUCUAUACCAUGAGGAAGCUCUUCAAUUCCUGUACCAUAAAGGUCCAACUUUCUCAGUGCUCUGAGCUCUGCUAAUGAAGGCACAUAUUUUAACCUGCCACAACUAGCAAGUAUCAAUGCAUCGAGGUUUUUCAAGUUAGAGAUGGAAUUGGGUAGAUCCUCCAAGUAAUAAUUACUAUAAAGAUUUAGAACUUUUAGUCUAGGCAUGUGCUUAAAGAAAGAUUCAGGAAUACUUUUUAAGCCACAUUGUUGCAAAAUCAAAGUUGACAAAUGAGGACACUCAGGUGAUAUGUGAGGAGGGAUUUCUAUUAAUUUUGAAUUUUGCAUCAAAGAAACCUUCUCAACACUCACUGUCCAUUCUUGCUCACUUGGGAAUUCUUUCAAUUGCAUACCUGCUUUUACCAUGAACUGAUGACCUUUAAUAUACAACGCCAUGUCCCUCAAAACAUCAUGCAUCUUAACUCCUUCUUUGCGACUCCUAGUUGUAGCCCUCUCUAGCAAGCAAUUAUUUUCAAGCUUAUUUAAAAUGCUAUGGCCUCUGUCAUGCAUUUCUUGUCUAGUCCUUAAGCCAUCAAGGAGUCCUUCAUCUAUCCAAUUUUCAAUUAAUUCAACUUCUCCAAUCACAAAAUCUUCAGAAUACAAGGAGCAAUAUAAGAAACAAUUUUGAAUUUUUGGAUCUUUCAAAUAGUCAUAACUGAACUUCAAACGCUCAAAUAUUUCAACAUCCGAUCCUUUCACACUUUUCACACGCUCUUUUAAUUCCAUUAAUGCAUUUCUCCACUCACAAAUAUCAUUUACCCCCUUCAUGCUUCCAGCUAUUGUGACAAUGCUAAGUGGUAAACCACCACAUUGCUCAACAAUUUUGUUGACAAUGUCUUUUAAAUUUUGAUCUUGUACAACACCAUGCCCCACACGAUCUAAGAAUAAGUUCAUGGACUCUGUCUUUGAAAGCGGUUGCACUUUGACCACCUUACAAUCCAUAGAUUGGCAGACCUCAAUCAAUCUACUAGUGAGUACAACUUUCCUCCCCAUACCUAUUGUUGGUUCAGGGAUACCCACAUCCAAUAGAGAAAACCGUUUCCAAACAUCGUCUAAGAUCAACACAUAUCUUUUUCCCUCCAAAAUAUCUUUUAAUGUUGAUGCUCUUUGCAGUUCAUCAUAUUUUGGAAGAGACUCUUUCAAAGAAUCUGCAAUAUCUUUUUGCAAUCUAAAAAUAUUCAAUUCUUUUGAUACAGUGAUCCAUAUCACUUGAUCAAACUUCUCACUUUCCUUUAACAAUCGAUUGUUGAUAUGCUUCAUGAUAGUAGUUUUCCCUAUACCACCCAUUCCACAUACUCCAAUCAUUCCAACCUUAUUACCCAUCAAAUACUCCCAAAUUUGUUCUUUUACAUCGAUUUCACCUUCUAGAUUUGGUGUUGGUAACAUCACCCCGGUGGUUGGAGGCCCAUCAACUGCCACAUUGUUAGGGAAACUACCGUUUUGGUGAAUUUCCUUUACCUCUUCAAUCAUUCGGCAAACAAAUUUUCCAAGACGACCACGUAAGAAGUAUGAAACAACAUGGAACUUGGUUUCAAUCUCUUCCAUUUCAGUGUUAACCUUUUCUACAGCUUUAAACCAGUACUCCACUUCUUCCCUCACCACUUUUCUGUGACGAAGCUCCUCUUCCUUUCUUGAUAUGAGGUCUCUCUUUCGGAUGUUUAAAACAUUCACUUUUUCUCGAAGAUCAUUCAUAUGUUCUUCAAGUUUUCGGUGAUGGUCAAUGUAUGUACAGGUUGGACCACCAAAGCACUUUAUCACUUCAAAAAUUUGCCCUAUAAGCUCCAUAUAAGCUAUUCCCUAGAGAUUAAACCAAGAUAUAUUAGAUCUCCAUAUGACAUAAGCUACUCCCUCCCUAAACUACAAUUCUAUAUUUUUCAUAUAAUACAGAAUAUGUUAGAAAAAAAUCUUACUAAUUAAAAUUUUUUUACCAAUUCUUCUUAAGAAAAAACAUAAUAUUUUUGAAAACAUUAUAAAAAACAAGAAGUUUUUGUUUCCGUCACUUAAUUACUAUAAUUAUUUUCCACCUAAUUAAGAGAAAAGAAGCAUGACAUAGACCAAUGAACAAAAAUAAUUAUGUGAAAGGAAAGAUGAUGAACCUAUGUUAUGAAUCUAAAACAUGAAUCCAAAUCAAUAUUAAACAAUUUAAUUUAUCUAGUCAAGUGAGGCAGAUGAGCUGGUACUUCUUCUAUUCUUAGAGUUUCUUGAUUAAGUUUGUAAAAGCAGAUCUCCUUGCAAAAAAUUGUCAAGAAAAUAGCAUCAAGCAGAUCUCCUUCCAAAAUAUCCUCUAUGAGAAGAAAAUGAGUAAUGAAGCACAUGAAUUAUUGAAAAGUGGGCAAGAUUAAUAUUUAUGUAAGAAACUAAAAUAAAUGCCCAAUUUGUGUCUUAAUAUUUAUAUAAAACUUAUGAUAAGAUGAAUUUGUGUUAUAAUUUAAGAUUUCGAUUAAUUAAUGUUAUCAAAGAUAAAACUAAAUCAUAAGUAUAGACAACCUACUUAAUUCCGUGAGGCAGGGAAGUGAUACUUCUAUCUUCAGAAGGCCCUUAAUAAAUUUGAGAAACAAGCCCAAUCAAGAAAAAUAGCAAUAACAAAUAGAUUAUCUCCUUGCGAAAAAGAAAAUCCUGAUCCUCCGAGAGAAGAGAAUUAUUGAAUUAUGAAGCAGAAAAGAAUUAAAGUCGGCAACUCAAUGCAAAGUUGAAUUAUUUUCAACCUAAUUAGGCAAAAAAGGAAAAAGAAUAGAAGCAUAAAAUAAAGAGAAAGACCCAAAAGAAAGUUUUAUGGAGUUUGUUGAAAGAUGAAUUUAUGGCAGAAGGUAAGAUUCAGAGAUGGUACCAAAGAUGAAAAAUAUAAGCGUAGAUACUUCAGCUUGUUGAUAUCACUAAGCAGAUCUCCUUGCAAAUUCCUGUGUAAUGAGAAGAGAAGGAAUUAUGAAGCAAAUAAGUCAAUGCAAGUCAUGACAUUGGUUUCGGGGUCACUUCCCUUAAAGCUGCUUUGAAAUAAAGAAAAUAUAAAUAAAAUAAAAGAUGAUGAAGUGAGCCUGAACACUCGUUCAUUUUUCUUAAAGAAACAAUAAUCUAAGUUAGGACAAAAAGGAAGCAUCCGAGAAGGAUCCUGCGUAAAUUUUUACCAUUAAAUUACUUUGUGAAAAGACAAAGUUAGGUGCGAAUUGAGCACAAGGAAAGAUGAAGCAAUUAAAAAUUCAUCCAUUGUGUUAGUGGCGAAAUAAAAUAAUGAAAAGUUAGAGAAAUAGGGAGUCAUGAUUAGUGACUUGUGGGGUAGUAAUUGGAUUCCCCUUCUAGGUGUUUUGUGUUAUGCCAUAAACUUAUUACAUUAAUCUGAAUUUAUAAUUUAUAAAGAGAAUUAUUUCAACCUGAAAACUGAAAAAUAAGUAUCCCAAUCUGCAAUAGAAUGAUUUGACUAUGCACAGAAUGUGCAUAAGCUAUGAUCUACUGAAUGUAGUCCAUUUUAUAAGGGGACAAGAAACGAAUUGCCCUGUUCUUUGAUGGAGCUUCAGCAUCAUGCUUCAACCAGAAGUUUUCUACUGAGUUAACCGGAUUGUUAGUUCCUUGAUUGAUUUUCUAGUUAAUGAGCCAUAUCAGAUUACUUAGACUUGAGAAAUAGAAUUUCAACUUCUAAGGUUCUAAAUGUGACUAGUUCACAAAAUAUAUAGAAAUAUAAGGUACAAGAAGAUGAUGAUGAAGAUCAUUAAGUAAAGAUAUUGAUGAAGUGUGACGGUCAUUUCAUUGUUGAAGAUGAUUCAUGGCCGCCCCGUGGAACUGCUUCAAAAUAGUUCUUUUCAGAUAGUCCUAAAUAAUUGCUGCUGCACACACAACAGACAAAUGUGGAUGCAGCUUAUCACUUCUGAUAGAGCAGAGGACUCCCCUAAGAAUAUGGAUCAUCUGCUAGUUCAAAUUGUCUUGACUCUUUCCACAAUCUCCAUUCCUGAUACAUAUCAAAACCAUUUUGUCAUUUAUUAGUUUGAAAACUUAAUUAGUUAAAUGAUAAUACAUUGCACAACACUUACAUGUCCAACAAGGCUCAACAUUGGUUGAUAAAACCUUCUAUUCUUCUCUCCACAUAUUAUCUCCAGCAAUAGCCAAAUAUAGUACCCAUCAACAAGUGGGUUAAUUUAUCCUUACCCCAUCAACCUUAAGUUAAGCUUUUGUUUUGGUCUGAUAGUUUAGGUGCACAAUCGAUCAAGAAGUGGAAUUUUUUCUGUCAAUAGCAAAAAUUAAAAUCAGAAACUGUUUUUUGACCAAGAAAAGAAGCAAAUAAUUGAAAUUUUGUAGUUUUAAGAAGGAAGCAAGACGAUUACCAGACGAGAAGCUGUGUUCAGCCAAAUGAAAAGGCAAUAGCAUUUCCUUAGCAUUAGGAUCAUCCCAUUCCAGUGAUUCCCACCAUUCUUCUGGAUAUAAAACGAUUUGCUCAACAGGAGGAGUGGGAGGAGAUGGUAGUCCAUUUUCAAGCAGGGGAAGAGAUAAGGGGAUCCUUUUUAACUUCGGACAUUCUAUUACCUCAAGAUAUUGACGAGAGUUUGUUGGAAUCAUAAGUCCAAAAACCACAAAUGCUUUUCUGCUCUGGUAAUUUCAACAAGGAAAGUUUCCUUAAUUUGGGAAGAAUAAAUGUUAUGUGGUAAUUGCCCUUCCUGCCUCAAUUUCCUCCAACUUUUGAAAACCCUACAGCAGCUUAAUUGAACACAACUUCUUCAUACUCGAACAGUUUCUCAAGCAAAACCUUUUGAGAGAAGAGAAAAUGGGAGGUGGUGUUGGGAUGUGAGAUGGAGAUACACAUAGAUUCAUGGUUUUCAUGAAUAAGAUAAAAAUGUUAUGAUCACCAUUUAAACAUAAUAUAUAUAUUAUAUAUAAUAUAUAUAUAUAUUAGAGUAAUCACACUAAUCAUAUCAAAUUAAACUUAUACUCAUAAUUUGCGUGCAACAUCAAAUCACCAAAUCUUAUACAGAUAAUUUAAACUAUUAAUCUUGUUUAAUUAUAUAUGUAUUCAUCAUUUGAAGGGCUUUGUAAAUUUAUAAAGUAAACAACAAUAAGCAAUAAUUAUGUUUAUUUUCAAUAUCUUGGUAUUGAUACAUCACUUCCCAAAUAUGCUUUCCUUUUCUUUUUCAUACAUAGACAUUGUCUUGUUUGGAGAUUGUAGCUAGCUAGAUACCAUUAUUGCCAGUCCAAGAGGUGACACUUUGGAGAUUGAAUAGAAUUUAAUUUUCAGGUGUUUUGGUCUUGAGAUGAGUGUCAACAUUAAUUCCUUUGGAUCUCUUGAAUUAGCUUUUGUAAAUAAAAGAAGGUAUCCCUCCUCAAACAUGGAAAAUCCCCUUUCAAACCUAUAAUUUUAAAGAAAGAAAAUCCUAAUUUAAUAGAUUAGUUGCCAACUAGGGACAAGCUCCGUUGAUGUGACAUUAAUUUUGGUAUAUUCUAACACUUGUUGACUAGAUUCAAUUGGAUAGGAUUUUUAAUUUGGGUGAAAUUUACGGGUACUGAUUAAACAAUGGAAGUGACAUUGGAGGUUCUAAGUCCCUUUCACCUAAGAGAGAAAUGAGUUUGUUCAAUUGACACAGCUUUGGUACAAACAGAAAGUAAGCUAAUACCAUAUCCAUAUUUCUCAUGUGACUUGCAACAAAUUUAAGACUGAAGUAUGGCAAAAUAUUGGGUAUUUGUAUAAAUUACAAUACAGAUAAAGAAAAAAAAAAAAGAAAGAGACUAAAUAGAAAGGGGAAGUGGAAAGAUCCCCAAAAUCAAUUAGUUGCAAGUGGAAGGAGCAAAGCCCAACUUUGUUGGCAACAAGGUCAUGUUCCCACAGAUGAUUUUGUUGCAGAGUGUUGUCAAUAAUAUUUACUUCCAAGCUGUCUUUUGGUAAAUAGAAGCUGAUAAUGGUUAUCUGGAUCAAGCUCAAAUAUAGCUCCAUCUUCAAAAAUGAAUUGCAAAUCUUGACACUGAUGAGAAAAUCAAGCCUUUUUAUUGCUUUUAAUAAAAGCGUAUAAAAUUUGAAGGGUGCUCAGUUGGGGAAUUACUAGUUCCCAAGUAAUAGUUUUAACUGCUACUUUCUUGUACCAAAUUCCCAAGAAACGAUUCUUAGAGCUUCCAGGACAAAGAAACCAAGCUUAAGGAUUCCAUCCAUCACUAACAGACUGGGAGGAGGUGGAGAUAUCGAUUCCAUCAGCAAUACUUAAAAACAAUAUUAGCAAAAUGGUGUUGGUGAACAUGAAAGACAGAAUGUCUAUUUGUCUCAACUUUCAGAGCUUGUAAAACUUAUAGAAAAACUUUUCAGUUUGGCAGAUUUUAGAGAGCAAACAUAUUUAAACUGAUGGUCGUUGACUAGUAUGCAAGUCUUCCUUGAAAAGACCAAACUUUUCAGGUUGCACAGAAUUCUUAUUUCUGAUUUUUAUGAGGCUUCAGUGUAGUCAUCUUGUAUUGUCUCUGUGAAUUGUAUAUACAUAUUAUACCCCCAAGUGGGCACUUGCAGGGUGCUAAGCUCAAACUGGGACUAAACCACUGGUAUCAAAGCAUAAGGGACAUAAACAUACGGAUCGAUAGCCUAUAAUAAUGGCUUGGAGAUGAAAGAGCUUAAGUAUACAGUUUAUCAAUUAUCGAGCAUCUAGUACUGACAGAGUUAUUUCAUUUGUGGAAGAAGAUACAUGCUUGUCUGAUGAAGAAUCUUCUUCAAGUGGACUUUUCUUAGACAAAAUACCAGGUUGUUUGGGGUGUGGCAAUUCAGUUUCACUUCCCAACAUCAGAAUCACAAAUGACAUACGUGGCCUCUCCUCAGGGAUUUUGUCAUUUAUCAGUUAGAAAUGUUGAAAAUCUCAAGGAUUUUGUUAUAUUUGCAGACCAUUAUCUGUUAAAAUGAUAAAGAUAAAACGAGAGAGAAAAUAUAAUUGAACACAAAGUCUCCCUACAGUCUUUUCAUUCAACAAUAACACUUAUAAAUACAUUUACAGGAGAGAGAAGACAACAAUAAAAUAAAACAACACGUAAAGUAAAAUAACUGCACAAUAUCCAUAUCUUACAUAAUCACCUACUUUACAAUACAAACCCACUACCUAACAUAACAAUAACUGACUCAACAUGACAAUAAUUGUAAAAGAGAAAAUAAACUGAUAUUAACUAAUAAAUUAAAAAAUUGUUGAGAAUAACUGAAUCUGAUUCUUCAAGUCAAAUCUCAUUCUUCAACAAAACUUGAUUAGUUAAAUGAUAAUACAUUUCACAACACUUUUAUGUCCAACGAGGCUCAACACUUUUGUCUGGUUGAUAAAAGCUUCUAUUUUACCUUCCACAAAUUAUCUCCAGCAAUAAUAUACCAAAGCUAAAUACACUACCCAUCAAGAAGUGGGUUAAAUUAUCCUUAACCCAUCAACAUUAAGUUAAGCCUUUGUUUUGGUCUGAUAGUUUAGGUGCGCAAUCGAUCAAGAGGUAGAAUUUUUUCUGUCAAUAAUAAAAAUUAAAAUCAGAAACUAUUUUUUGACAAAAAACAGAAGCUAAUAAUUGAAAUUUUGUAGUUUUAAGAAGGAAGCAAGACGAUUACUAGACGAGAAGCUGUGUACAGCCAAAUGAAAAGGCAAAAGCAUUUCCCUAACAUUAGGAUCAUCCCAUUCCACUGAUUCCCACCAAGUAAUUGUUUGGCCCUUGAUCCAAUAUAGACUUGGUGUAUUCUACUGAGAUUUGUAAAUUUAUUUUCUUAAAUUGAAAGCACUGUUGUGAAGAUUUUUCCCUUUCGAAAUGAUUGGUUUUUCAAUGUCAGACAAAUUAAGAAUACACCAUACUUUAGAAAUGGAAACAUAUAUAAACUACUUAUUAAAUUACUACAACAUCAAGCAAAUUACUGUAAUGAACAAGUGAUAAUGAAGUCAAUAUAAUCCAAGAAGAUAGAUUGAAGGGAGUUCAGUUGGCUAAUUGAUGCAGAGAAUAUUUGGAGCAGACUGGGUUAAUCCUUGUCCAAAACUCCUUGAAAGCCUCUUCAUAGCAAUUUCCUGUGACCAUUUACUAAGAUAGAUUGAAAGACCGCCUGCAAAUAGGAGAGAAGAAAAUGUUGAUGUAACGACCCAAGUCCAAUCACCGGCCCAGCAACUUUUCGAACCUAAACCAAUCACUGGCCUAGCAACUUUUCGAACCUAAACCACAUGGCCCUUAAAAGCUUAAGCUUAAGUUACUAGUAGUGAUGGACUUGGAUUGUUAUAUAGGUAUUAACAAUCAUAUUCAUAUUAGACGUGAGAUUUGAGGUAUCACAAUCCGACCCAUUCAGAUCCUUGAUGUCAUCAUCAAGACCACACAUCACAUUCACGAGACCAAGAUCUCAUUAGAGCAAUGUGAAAGCUCACAUCGGACUAGCGCAAGCUCUUAUACCAUUUGUAAUGACCCAAGUCCAAUCAUUGGCCCAGCAGCUUUUCGGACCUAAACCACAUGUACCUCAAAAGUUGAAACUCAAGUUACUAGUAAUGAUGGACUUAGAUUGUUAUAUAAGUUUUAACAAUCAUAUUUAUAUCAGAUGUGGGAUGUGAGGUAUCACAAUGAACUUGAGUUUAAGUUUUUGAUGACCAUGUGGUUUAAGUCUAAAAAGCUGUUGGGCCAGUGAUUGGAUUUGAGUCAUUACAAAUGGUAUCAGAGCCUACGCCAGUCCGAUGUGAGUUUUCACAUUGCUCUUAUGAGAUCUUAUUCUCGUGGAUGUGAUGUAUGGCCUUGAUGAGAACAUCAAAGAUUUGAGUUGGUGGGAUUGUGAUAUCUCACAUCCCACAUCUGAUAUGAAUGUGAUUGUUAAAACCUAUAUAACAAUUCGAGUCUAUCACUACUAGUAACUUGAGCUUAACUUUUUAAGGACCAUGUGGUUUAGGUCCUAAAAGCUAUUGGGCCAAUGAUUGGACUUGGGUUGUUACAGUUGAUUAACAUCAACAAGUACAUCCCCUAGAUAAAUGAAUAAAAAUAAACACAGAAUGUGGAUAAAAAUAAACUGAGACUAUUUGCAGUUUUAAGAAAAAACGUUGAGGACUUUACCGAUGUGAACCGUCGAGCCACAUUUAAUGGAGUAGAUUUUCUCCAUCUCAUUCUACCAAAUAAAAACAAAGGGAGAAAAGACAUGCUUAGCAUCAAGGUGAUCCCAUUGCACUGAUUCCCACCAUUCACUCUGGCUUACAUUGAUUUCUUCUAGAAAAGGAAGAGGACAUGGUUGCCCAUUUUCAAAAAGGGCAAGACACAAAGGGAUCCUCUUUAGAUUUGGACAUUUCCAUAUUCGAAGAUUUCGGAGAGAAUCUGUAGGAAUCACAACUCCACCACUGUAAAUGCUUUUCAAUUUUGGUAAGUAGAUCAUCCAUAAUGAUUUUAAUUUAAGCAGAAUGAAUGUUGUUCUUUCUCCUUUACGAUUUUCUUCUUAUUCUGAUGCUAUUAUUUCCUCUAUUUCUUUAUAGUCUUCAACUUUAAUUUCCUGUAAGUUUUAGAGACCUUGCAACAACUCAAUUGGGAACAACUUCUUCAUCUUCCAACACAAAUCUAGAUGCAAUAAUUUAAGAGAAAAGAAGAUGGUAGGUGGGGUUAGAGGAGGAGAGGUAGAACCAAAUUCAAGCGCUACUCUUACUCUCACAUGUUCAUGCAAGUUCCACAAUGACUUAAGGAAUAUCUUCUUAAUGUCAUCAAGUGUGUUGCAAGGCGACAAUGACAAGUCAACCACACACGCCGUCCCUUUACACUCCUCAAUUUAACAUAUCUUCAAGUUAGUUGCCUUACGAAACAAAGGAAUAUUGCUUAAACAUUUGAAAUCAUUACACUUCCCAAUACGUAAAGUAUGAAGGCCAUUUGGGACUAGUGUAUCUUCUAUUUUCUCCAUCUCACAAUGCAUGAAUGUUAUCUGCUUUUCAAGUUUCUCUAAAUUUUGGACAGGUAGACUAUGUAAAACCUCAGAUGAUCCUACUUCAGGAUAAAGAUUUUUAGGCCAUUUACCUUGUAUAGACUUUGCAUAUCUUGAACUCUUACAAGUCACAAAAUGAACAUGAAAGAAUCUCAAGCUUCAUCAAUUUGCCUUCUUCUUCUCCCAUUAAAUGCGGCCCUACUAUUAAGCAUUGGAGAUGAGACAUCAUCAGCAAUAUUCCUACAGGCAGCUCUUUUAUAUUAGAUGACCAUAGACGGAGAUAUCUAAGGAUUUCUAACUUUUUUAUUCCAUGAGGAGCCUCUUCAAUUCCCAUAUACAAAAGGUCCAACUUUUUAAUGCUCUAAGCUUUGCCGAGGAAGGCACACAUUUUAAUAUGUAACAACAAAAAAGUAUCAAUGCAUUAAGAUUUUUCAAGUUACAGAUGGAAUUGGGUAGAUCUACAAUCUGAGUACGAGAAAGAUCUAAAACUUUUAGGUCAGACAUGUACUUAAAUAAAGAUUCUGGAAUCCUUCUUAAGCCACAGUUUUGCAAUAUCAAAGUUGACAAACGAGGACAUUCAGGUGAUAUGUGAGGAGGGAUUUCUAUUAAUUUUGAAUUGUCUAAUAUCAAGGAAACCUUCUCAACACUCAUUGUCCAUUCCUGCUUAAUUGGUAGUUCCUUUAAUUGCAUGUAUUGAUGACCACUACUUUUAACAUACAAUGCCACGUCUCUCAAAACAUCAUGCAUCUUAACUUCUUCCGUAUAAUCAGUUGUAGUCCUUUUUAACAAGCAAUUAUUUUCAAGCUUAUUUAAAAUGCUAUGGCCUUUGUCAUACAUUGCUUGUCUAGUCCCUAAGCUAUCAAGGAGUCCCUCAUCUAUCCAUUUUUCAAUUAAGUCUGUUUUUCUAAUUCUAAAAUCCUCAAGAUACAAGGAGCAAUAUAAGAAAUGAUUUUGGAUUUCUAGAUCUCCCAAAUGGUCAUAAUUGAACUUUAAACACUCAAAUUUUUCAAUGUUCGACCCUUUCACAAUUUUCACUUGCUCCUCUAAUUCAUUUAGUGCAUUCCUUCACUCACAAAUAUCAUCUACUUCUACCCCUUUUAGGCUACUAGCCAUUGUCACAAUGAAAAGUGGUAAACCGCCACAUUGCUCAACAAUUUUGUUGACAAUAUCUUUUAAAUUUUGAUCUUGUAUAACACUAUACCCCACACAAUCUAAGAAUAUAUUCAUGGACUCUUUUUUUGAAAGCGGUUGCACUUUGACCACCUCACAACCCAUAGAUUUAUAGACCUCAAUUGAUGUACUAGUGAAAACUACUUUCCUCCCCAUACUUAAUGUUGGUUUUGGGAUUUCCUCAUUUAGUAGAGAAAGUCAUUUCCAAACAUCGUCUAAGAUCAACACAUAUCUCUUUUUCUCUAAAAUAUCUUUUAAUGUUGCUACUCGUUGCAAGUCAUCUACUGGAAGAGAUUAUUUCAAAAAAUUUGUAAUAUCUUGUUGCAAUUUGAAAAUAUUCAAUUCUUUUCAUAUAGUGACCCAUAUCACUUGAUCAAAUCAAUUAUCCUUCAACAAUUGAUUAUUGAUAUGCUUCAUGAUUGUAGUUUUCCCUAUACCACCCAUUCCACAUACUCCAAUCAUUCCAACCUCUUCACCCAUCAGAUACUCUGAAAUUUGCUCUUUCAUAUUGAUUUCACCCUCUAGAUUUGGUGUUGCUAAUGUCAUCCCAGCAAUUGAAGGCCCAUCAACCGCCACACCAUCAGGGAAACAACCUUGUUGGUAAAUUUCCAUUACUCCUUCAAUCUUUCCGCAAAGAAAUUUUCCUAGAUGGCCGCAUAAUAAGUAUGAAACAGCACAGAACUUCUUUUCAAUCUCUUUCAUUUCAGUCUUUACCCUUUGUACCUCUUUAAACCAGUUCUCCACUUCUUUCUUCACCUCUUUUCUGUGACGAAGCUCCGCAUCCUUAAUGGAUUCAACAUCUUUCUUUCGAGAUUUCAAAGCAUCCACUUUCCUUCGAAGCUCAUUCAUAUGUUCUGCAGGUUUUCGAUGAUGAUCUAUGUAUCUAUAGGUUGGAUCCCAAAAAUACUUUAUCACUUCAUAAAUUAGCCCUAAAAAGUCCAUAUAAGCUACACCCUAUAAUUUAAUAAACCAACUUAUAUUACAUCUCUACAUGAUAUAAGCUACUCCCUGUACUAAAAUUCAAUAAAAUAAUAUGUAGCCUAUACGUUACAAAAAAAAUGUUACAAAAUAAUAAAUUUUUAAUUUCAAAAUUGGAAGACUAAAUUUACUAUAUGUGAUUUUUUUAUAUAUUUUACACAUUUAAUACGAAUUCAAAUGAGAUUAGGCAAGAAUUUGUAAUUGUUAGCCUAAGUGAACAUAGAAUGACCAUUUAAUGUUAAAUAUUCAAAUUCAAAAAUGGAUAUUGUCACCCAAAAAUGUAUUUGCUAGCAUAACUCAAAUAAAAGGAAAACUUUAUAAUAUUAAAAUUUGCAUUGAUUUCACUGUUUUCUCUACCAAUUGUUUCAAAUAGCGUUUAUUGCUAUUAAUUUUUUUGACCAUGACUCCUAAUUUGAUUUUUGUUUCAUACUUAUUACUUAUUUAAUUGUUCACAUUCAUAAUUCAGAGUUUACCUUAUAUGGUUACUUCAACUUUACCUCUUAAAAUAUGAGAUAUCUUGAAAUUAAUGCUAUAAAUUGCAAAUUUUUUCUACUUACUUGGUAUGUUUUUGUUAAAGAUUAUAUAUAGUUUCUUAGGCUAUUCUCCACUCAUAUUUAGUUUCUAUGUUUCCCUAAUCCAAAUUUCCAUCAUCAAAAGUUUGAUUUCUUCUUUUUGCAGACCUCUUUGAAUUAUUCAAUUUUGUCUAUAUAUGUAUUUUGACCUCAUUGAUUUAUAAUUAUUUAGUAGUUAUGUAUUUCAACCUCUUUAAUGAACUAUUCAAUUUCUUAAUUUAUUUUCUUUAGUCAAUUGUUUUACUGUAUUCAUAUGAGUAGAUUUUCAUCAGAAUCAUUUAAUCUUCUAAGACGUUAUUCAUUAACAUGGAUACUUCCAACUUAAUUUUUUUUUACAUUCUACUUUAUAUUUUAAAUUCUUAAAAAUUAUUAUAAAAUAAAAUUAUCACCUGUGCAUUGCAUGGGGAUAAAUCUAGUUUUUGAUAAUAAUAAACAUCAUCUUAACCAAUAAUAAUGAUAAUAAUAAAUAUCAAAGACCCAAGCAAAUAUUAAUCAUUUUGAAUUGAUAGUCCUAAAUAUUUUCAAUUGUGGAUUAAUAAAAUCUAAACAUGAGUAAGGAAUAUAUAUAUUACAUCUUUUUGAUAAUUAAAACAACAAAGCUUGUGACAACAACAAUAUAUCAUAAAAAGAUAUUUAAGAAAUGAUAGAAAGAAUAAAUUGAGAGAAUAGAAUGAUAUUUAGGGUCCGUUCGUUUUGCAGUAAAAUAUUUUCCGGAAAAUAUUUUCAGGACUUAUGCUUGUUUGGUAGAUGGAAAAUUAAUUUCAGAUGUAAAACAUUUUACGAGUUAAUAGGGUUAACCAUGGAAAAUGUCUUAUACGCUUGAAUGGCGUAAGACAUUUUUCAAAGAACAACAAAAACACUUUUAUGCUAAGUUUAUGAUUAUAAGUUUGAUGAAUAUUAAUAUUUAACUUAAAAUAUUAAAAAAAUAAAAAUAUUAAUAUUUAACUUUAAAAUAAUUACUUUAAAAUAUUAAUAUUUAAAUUAUACAAUACUAUUAAAAUUAAAAAAAAUAUUAUUGUAAUGAAACCAUUCAAUACAAUUAAAUUUUUUAUUUAUAAAUGGAAUAAAUCUUAUUAAUAAUUAUAAUAAAAAAUAUUUCAAUGAUCAUUAUUUGAUUAAUACACAUUUAUAAUAGUUUUAAAUCUUACUAAUAAUUAUAAUUAAAAAUAUUUCAAUGAUCGUCAUUUAAUGAAUACACAUUUAUAAGCAUAGAUUUAGGAUAUCUUACACAAUUGAUAAAUAUUUACAUUUUAUAGUUAUGAUAAAAAAGUGAUAAAAUGGAAAUUUUUUUGAAAAUUAGAGUUUAUUUUCAUCACAGAUAUGUGGUUAAAUGNGAAAUUUUUUUUUAAAUUAGAGUUUAUUUUCAUUACAGAUAUGUGGUUAAAUGCUUUGAGAAAUAUCAUUAUUGAUUUUGUCCAUUUUCAUCUUCAUUCUUAAUUUUGAUCCCAAAUUAGUGAAAAUCAAAUAUCAAUAUUGUUUUGUAAUCAACUCCUAUUUAUUAUUUUAACGCCUAAAUAAGUCCACCAUAAUGAAAAAUAUUUUUCAUAAAAUGAUCCAAACAACUGAAAAUGUUUUCGAUAGUUUAUCCAAAUAAUAAAAUAUAUUAAAUUUUCCUAUAAAAUAUUUUACAUAGGAAAAAUUUUCCUUCAGUAAGUCAAUUUACGAUUACCAAACGGACCUUAAAGUACCUGGUUUCCUUUUCAAAUUAUUUGGAAAGACCAAGAAUAGAGGUUAAGUAGAUGAACUGCAAAUUAAUCCCCUUGGCUCCUUGCGUUAAGUAGAAAUUUUUGUGGAAAAUUAAAAAUCUUAUUUUUAACACCAGUAGUGUUAAUUCAAAUUUAUACUUGUACCAAUUCAAAUUUAUAUUUAAGAGGAGAAUCAAUCCAAUCUGAAGAGUGAAAAAGUCUUGAAUUAAUUCCUUGUUGCUGAUGUAGAGAGAUGUAGUUGUAGAAGAAACUAUGCAUAGAAGGAACAAGUUUAGCCCUUGAAAAGAGCCUUGUGGAUGGCUCUUGAUCUUUACACAAAUGCUGCAGAGAACUUGUAAAUGAUGAGCUUGCAUGGAAUUUGUAUAUCUUAAUCAUAUGAAGCUUCAGUUUGGUCCUUCAAUUUCUCUAUCUAUGAAAUAAACACAAGGCAUUGUAUAUGAACUAUUCUAUACAUCUCAACUCUUCUUGGACAUAGAGAAAACCACCUUCAACUUGCUUUGAAAUUUCCUUCCUUGGUACAUGAUGCUGUCAAGUUAAGAACAUUGAAAAAUAGGAUUCAACCUUGCAAUCUAUAUUGACAUGAGGUUAACAUAAUUCUAAUCCAGUAUUGCAACUCCAUUACUGUCGACUCAAUCUGUAAUUAAUUUAAACAUAAGGGAAAGUAAGGUUAGAUUCAUUCGCAUUGGCUUUCUCUGCCCUGCUUUUAGAAAUUUCGUUGGUGAAAUUGGAUAAUGCUUCUUUCAGAUAAAAGACUUGAAGAUACCCCUUAAUAAAAGGAUUUGACAAAUUCUAAAUAUAAUUAGUUGAAUCAUAUGCAGAAACUGAAUUUGAAUCUCAAAAAGAAGAUUUUCUUCUCAUGAAAGCCUCUGUCAAGAACAUAUCCAGAUGACUUACAAUUCAAGUGAAUUUGGAUAGUGCUUCUGAUGAAAGCCUUCGAACAUUAGAACUACAGAAGACAUACAAUUCAAGUGACCAGAUUCCAGAUCAAAUAUGAACAAAUCUUGUAAAUUAGCAUUUUCUCCGCUCCUUGUUAUGCAACGACCAAGAGGCUUUACAGGAUUACGCUGCUGAAGCUUGGCAAUCAAUUUCACAUCAUUUCAUAGCACAUACAAUCCUUGUCAAGAACUCCUUCAAAGCCUAUACACAGCAAUUUGUCAUCCAUCUGAUAAUGUACCUUGAAAGGUUAAAAGUAAAGAUUGCAAAAGGGUUUUCCUUGUACAUACGUCCGAAUCCACCUUAUCCAAGCUUCUUGUAUAUUGGUGACUUUAGCUAUAGAGGAUAGGUCAAACAAGUCGAACCUCUGUGUUUUCCUUAUUGCCUACAACGUUCUGCUCAGCUUCUCCCAUGGUUUCUUUCUCUGAAAUAGAGGGAAAUGUGCCUCCUUAAGUGUACAGUUUUAAUGAUUUUUUUUUUGGAAGAUAUAGUGAUUUUUCAAUGCUGUUUUUUCCUCUGUUUUUUCUCCACUGACAAAUGAUUGAUACGCAAUUUCUAGCAAACUAUACCUUUCGAAAAAUUUCAAGAAACAGAAGAGCUAAAUGUUAUGGUUGACAAGACAAAUGAGCUUUACCUUGUAGGUUUCUCCAGAGUUUGUAAAGGUAACAGUCAAUUAUCACCAUCCCAGCAACAAUGGCAAGGUCAAUUCUGCUUUGAGAUAACAGCCAUCCUCUUCUUAGGCUCAUCUUUAGCCUUUUCAGGUUCAGAUUUGACACAGGAAAGUCAGUUAAACUUAUUUUCAGAAAGUAAGACACAGAGUUAAAAAAUGCUAAUGACACAUGAAAAAGCAAAUGAAUUAAUGAGUUAAAAUUAGGUGCAAAUUUAAUUUUGAAGCAGAAAUUUGAAUAUAAUGUACUCGCCCACCAGAAGGUUUCUGUCUGAUAUCAAAUAAUCAAAUCACAUGACUGAAAAGUUAGUGGUAGGGCCAAGAACUGAAGGUCCAUGUUUUCCUUGAAGCUUUCAGCAUGCCCUGAUCAGUUUCUUCAAUGUUUUUCUCUUAUCUAAUGUUCUGCUCAACAAAAGAAUAAAAAAUAAAAAAAUUUAAGACUAAAUGUAAAUGCAUGGUAAACUUGCUGUCUAGCUGAGAUGGUUUUAGAAAUUACUGAAGGCAUAGUGAAUGCUAAAUUUUUAAUGAAAAUCUGAUAGCCCAAUAACCAUAGGCAAAAAACAACUUGUGAAAGGACCAACCUAUCAUUGCCAUCAUCAGCCUCUUACUCUUCAUCCUCUUCUGAAGAAAAUUCUAAAACAACUUGUGAAAGGACAUCCUUAGCAUCAGGAUCAUCAAAUUCCACUAAUUCCCACCAUUUUCUUGGAUGAACAUAGCCAUGCUCGAGAGGAGGAGGAGUUGGUUGCCCAGUUUCAAGCCGGGGUAUGGAGAAAGGGAUCUUCUUGAGCUUUAGACAAUUUAUUAUUGAAAGAAAUUGGAGAGAGUUUGCAGGAACCAUAACUCCACUAGUACAAAUGCUUUUCAGUUCCGGUAAUUUGAUCAGGUGCAAGGUCUGUAAUUUGGGAAAAACAUAUGUUGUUACUUUAGGACCCCUUUCUUCUUCUUUGUGAUUUUCUUCCUCUGCUUCUGAUGCGAUUAUUUUCUCCAUCUUCUCACAGCGAUUAACUUCAAUGUACUCUAAGUUUUGCAAGCCCCGCGACAGCUGAACUGAAAACAAAUUCUUUAUACUUGAACAACGAAACAAAUGAAAUUUCCUAAGAGAAGAGAAGAUGGCAGGCGGUGCUGGAGUGUGAGAUGUAGAGACAGCUGCUACUCUUCCUUUCACAAGUUCUUGCAAGUUGGACAAACAUCGAAGACGUAGAACCUCAAUGUUCUGCAAUGAAUUGCAAGAUGAUAACGACAAAUCAACCAUGCACUUUAUUCCUUUACACCAACUAAUAGUACAUGUCUUCAACUCAUUUGCUUUACGGCACAAAGAAAUAUUGCUCAAGCUUUUGAGAUCAUGACAUGCCUCAACAGUCAGAGUCCUAACGCAAUUUGGGAGCACCACAAGAUCUUCUUUCCCUAUCUCGCAAUUAAUAAAACAUACCUUUUUGUCAACUUCGACAUCCUCAAGAUGAGAACACCAAGGAUGGCUCCUGAUGUUGCCCAAAGUAGGUGAUCCAACUCCAAGCCAGUAUUUGGAGGGCCCUUGACCCAAUAAAGACUUGGCAUAUCUCUCAAAGUCUUGUAUUUCACAAAAGAAUCCUAGAAGAAUCUCCAGCUUCCUUAGUUUGGCUACUUCCUCUCCUCUUCUAUUCAUCCAAGUUUUCAAGUAUUGGAGAUUAGAAAGCCUUAAUAGAAUUUCCGUUGGUAGUUCCUUUAGAUUCCUUGAAUAUAAAUCAAGAUAUGUGAGGCUUUCUAACAUUUCUAUACCACGAGGGACCUCCUCAAUAAUUGUAUCAAAAAGAUCCAACUUUCUCAAGGCUGUAAGCUUGGCUAAUGAAGGCACGUAUCUUAAACUGCUACACCUUCGAAGGACAAGUGCAGUUAGAUUUUCCAAGUUAGAAAUGGAAUUGGGCAGAUCAUAAAUGCCAGUAUCCGAAAGAUCUAGAACUUUUAGCCCAUGCAUGUGGUCAAAGAAAGAUUCUGGAAUUCUUUUGAGACUAUGAUUUUCUUGCAAUAACAAGGUUGACAAAUUAAGGCAUUUCGGUGAUAUCUGAGGAACUUGUGAUAUGUAAUUGUGAAUCAAGGAAACCUUCUCAAGAUUCUCUUUCCAUUUAUGCUCACUUGGUAACUCCACUAAUUGCAUACCAGCUUGAACCAUAAAGUGAUGACACCCUCUUAUAAUAGACAAUGCCAUGUCUCUUAGAACAUCAUGCACCUUCACUUCUUCCUUAACAUUGUAAGUCAUCACCCUCUCUAACAAGCAAUUAUUUACAAGCUUAUUUAAAAUAGCGCGACCUCUGUCUUGCAUUGCCUGUCUAGUUUCUAAUUCAUCAAUGAGAUCCUCAUCUAUCCAUUUUUCAAUCAACUCUUCUUCCACAAUGUGAUAAUCUUCAGGAUACAAGGAACAAUAUAAGAAACAAUUUUGAAUUUUUGAAUCUUUCAAACGAUCAUAACUGAAUUUCAUACGCUCAAAUAUUUCAAUAUCUAACCCUUUCACACUUUUAACCCUUUCACGUAAUUCAUUUAGUGCAUUCCUCCACUCGCAAGUAUCGUCCACUCCUCUCAUGCUACUAGCUAUAGUCACAAUGGCAAGCGGUAAACCACCACAUUCGUCAACAAUAAGGUUUGCAAUUUCCUUUACAGUUGGAUGUUGUAGAACCCUAUCCCCCACCAGAUUCAAAAAUAAGUUCAAUGACACCUUCUGCGAAAGAGGCUGCACUUUAAACACCUUACAACCCAUAGAAUUACAAACCUCAAUUGAUCUACUAGUGAUUAUCACUUUGCUCCCAUUAUGUAAUGUUGGUUCCGGGAUUCCCACAUCCAAUAGAGAAAACCGUUCCCAAACAUCAUCUAAGAUCAACACAUAUCUCUUUCUUUCCAAGACUUCCAUUAAUACAGUUGCCCAUUGCAACUUAUUUUCUGGAAGACAGCAUUCUAAAGCACAUGCAAUAUCUCCUUGUAAUUUGACAGCAUUGAAUUCUCUAGAUACGGUGACCCAAAUCACUGCAUCAAACUGAUUUUCCUUCAACAAUUGAUUAUUGAUAUGCUUCAUGAUGGUAGUUUUUCCCAUUCCACCCAUACCACAUACUCCAAUCAUGCCAACCUCGUCACCCAUUAAAUUUUCCCAAAUUUGUUCCUUUACAUCGAUUUCACCUUCUAGUUUUGUUGUGAGAAAUGUCACCCCUGUAGCUGGAGGCCCAUCAAUUGUUACACCCUCAGGGAAAUUACCUCGUUGAUAAAUUUCCUUUGCUUCUUCAAUCUUCUGGCAAACAAAUUUCCCUAGGCGUGCACGUGAGAAGUAUGAAACAACACGCAAUUUCUCUUCAAUCAUUUGAAGUUCAAUAUUUAUCCGUUCUAAAUCUUCAAACCAUUUCUCCACUUCUUUCUUCACCACUCUUCUGCAACGAAUAUCUGCUUCCUUUCUGAAUUCAAGGUCUUGCUUUCGAAUAUUUAGAUCAUUCACUUUUCUUUUAAGAUCAUUCACAUUUUCCUUAAGUUUCCGAUGAUGACUAAUGGAUCUAUAGGCUGGACCCCCAAAGCACUUUACCACUUCGAAAAUUGGCCCUAGAAGCUCCAUAUAAGCUACUCCCUGUAGUUUAAAAACCAAUAUGUAUAUUACAUCUCCAUAUAAGAUACUGCUUGUACUACUAUGUUAUUAAAUCUCAAACUUUUAUCAAUUCUUCUAAAGAAAAAAAAAACAAAAGAAAAAAUAUUGCUUUUAAAAAACUUUAUUAAAUACAAGAAUCCAUCAUCUAUGAGAAUAGUGUUUAUAUUUCUAAGACUACUUAUACGUUAAUGGUUUUAUAUAUAGUAUAUGUAGAUGAAUGUAUACAUGUUUGUGUUUAUAUAUUUAUAUAUAGUGUUCAACUUUCUCACUUAAGAACCAUCACAAAUUCUUUAAAUAUGUCUGACCUGUGUUUUCGAGUCUUGAUCAUUAGAACAUUAAUAAAAGGAGGAAUAAAAAAAUGAGAAAACAAUUCUCAAUAAUAUUAAACAUCAAGGACCCAAGCAACUUUCUCACUUAAGUUGUAUCACUCUCUAACAGGUAAUUAUUUUCAAGCUUAUUUAAAAUGCCCUCUGUCAUGCUUUGUUUGUCUGGUUUCUAAGCUGCCAUGGAGCCUCUCAUCUAUCCAAGUUUCAAUUAAUUUCAUUUUCUCAAUUUCAAAUUCUUCAGGACAUAAGGAACAAUAAUAUAAGAAAAAAUUUUAAAUUUUGUAUUUCUCAAGCAAUCAUAACUAAACUUCAAACAACCAAAUAUGUUGACGUUCACACCUUUCACACUUGUCACCCACUCUUCGAAUUCAUUCAGUGCAUACCUGCACUCACAAUAUCAUCUACCCCUUUCAUGCUACUGGCUAUUAAUGUCGCAAAGCGGUAAAUCGCACAUUGCUCAACAAUUUUGUUGACAAUGUCUUUUAAAUUUCAAUCUCAUACAACACCACAUGAUCUAAGAAUAAGUUCAUGGACCACGUUUUUUAAAGUGAUUUCACUUUGACAACCACACUAUCCAUAAAUUUACAGACCUCAAUUGAUUUACUAGUGAGUACAACUUUCCUCCCCAUACCUAAUGUUGGUUUUGUGAUUCCUACAUCCAAUAGAGAAAAAAUUGUUUCUAAACAUCAUCUAAAAUCAACGCACAUCUCUUUUCCUCCAAAAUAUUAUUUAAUGUUGCUGCUUAUUGCAAUAUAUCUUUUGGAAGAGAUUGGUACGAAGAAUCUGCAAUAUCUUCUUGCAAUUUGAAAAUAUUCAAUUCUUUUAAUAGGUGAGCCAUUCCACUUUAUCAAGCCAGUUAUCCUUCAACACUUGAUUAUUUAUAUGCUUCAUGAUGGUGGUUUUCCCUAUGCCACUCAUUCCAUAUACUCCAAUCAUUCCAAUCUCAUCACUCAUCAAAUACUUCAUUUUUUAAUUUUUCUUCAAUUUCACCUUCUAGAUUUGGUGUUGGUAAUGUCACCCUGGUGGCUAAAGGCCCAUCAAUUGCCACACCAUCAAGGAAACCACCUUGUUGGUAAAUUUCCUCUAAUUCAUCAAUCAUUCAACAAAAUGAUUUUCCUGGACGACCGCAUAAGAAGUAUGAACCAACACAGAACUUCUUUUCAAUAUUUUCCAUUUCAGUCACCCUUUGUACGUCUUCAAAGGUUAAAUGGAGCACAGUAUGCAAGCCCAAAAGAUUUGGAGGACUGGGGAUCUCAAACCUUAAGCAUAAAAACUUAGCUCUCCUUGCAAAAUAUUGGUGGUGGCAGUAUGGCAACGAGGAAAACGCAUUAUGGAGGUGGCUGAUUGUAGAAAAAUAUGAAAGGGGGCAAAAUCAUUGGAUCCCCUCAUCAUCAAACAUGGGAAGAAUGUCACUGAUAUGGAGAUCCAUUGUAAAUUUACCUUCCAACAAGGGUGUUCAAGAACUUGUGUGAGACCAAGCAUGUCGCUGGAUUACUAUUUUCUUUUGGCUUUACAAAUUGAUUAAUGAUGUUCCUCUUUUCUCCAAAUUUUCUCCUCUUUUCUCUUUGAUUGUUUCAAAGGAAAUGAAAGUUGUUGACGUGCAGAACAAUCGCACUUGGUCCAUAACCUUUAAACACAAUCUACAUUUAUGGGAGAAAGAAUCCUAGGAUGAGAUCCUCCACAAGUUCUCCUCGAUUCCUUACUCCAAGGAAAAGGUGAUAAGCUCAUUUGGCGGCAUGACCCUAAGGGUGCUUACUCUAUUAAAACUUUCUACUUACUCCUUGAUGCUAAUCCUAGUGCUUGAAAGUUUGGUUCAACACUAUUUGGCACUUCUCCAUUCCACCGAAGGUGCAAUGUUUCCUAGGGCUCUCGCUCAUAUAUAGAUUCUUUACCUACCAAAGGCUUCCUUUCGUCCGAGGUGUUUAAUUCAAUGUUGAGCAACUUAGAUGCCCUUGGUGCAGCCUUGUAGUGGAGACAUUUGUUCUUUGUAUUAUCUUUCAGUAUGUUGCUAGUAGUUGAUGUAUAAUUCUCUUAGGCCAUGUUUCGGAUUGUUCUGCAUUUUGUAAGCCAGGCUGGUUAGGUUCUGUUAUGCACUCUUUGUGCACUCCCCUGUUUUUUUCAUUUUCUGUUCUGCAUCAACAGUUCAUUCCCAGCCUUGUACUUUAAAAAACCAACUUAUAUUACAUCUCCAUAAGAUAUAAGCUAUACCUUGUACUAAAAAGCAAAAGAAAAAUAAGUUUUGAAAACAUUAUUAGAAACAAGAAGUUUUUGUUUCGAUCAUCUAGGUGAAUAAUGUUUACAUUUCUAACACUAUAUUUAUCAAGCCGAAUGUAUAUACUAUUUAUAUAUAGCAUAUACUUCCCCCCCUAGAGAGCCAACACAAAUUCUUAAAUAUGUCUUGCCUACAUAUCUCAAAAAGAUAUUUAAGAAAUAAUUGCAUGAAUAAAUUGAGAGGGUAAAAUGACAUUAAAAAUACCAGGUUUCUUCUUCAGGAAAGAUGAAGAACAGGGCUCAAGUAGUACAAAUUAAUCCCCUUGGUUCCUUGCUAAGCACAAAUUUGUUGUGGAAAAUAGCUGACAUAAAAGAGGAACAAUCACUAGUGUUGUAAAGGUGAAAAGCUUAUUUGCUAAAGUUUUUGGAAUUAUUCUUAUUCUUGCUCACUAUAAUUAAUUUCAGCCUAAUUAAUAGAAUAGAAGCAUGACAAAGAAAGAACCAAAAUAAUUUUGUGCAACUUGACUAAAGAUGAUGAAAUUAUGUUACAAGAUUAUAAGAUUCUAAAGAACAUGAACCCAAAAGAUUAAAAAUCAUAAUAUAAAGGAAUAGGCAGUUCAAUUACCUGGUUAAAUGAGACAAUGAAUGGGUACGUCUCCUCUCCUUAGAGGGUCUUGGUUAUAUUGGUGGAAUGGAAGAUUAAUAUCUCCUUCUAGAAUUUGUCAAGAACAGAGCAAAAUCAGAUCUCUCUGCUGGCAAAAUAAUACUAAUUGACGAUGUGGAGCAACAAAACUUGUCACACGCCCUAUAUCUACUUUCUUAUAUUUAUAUUUCAAAGGAGAAUUAAUCCAAUUUAGAAAAGUCAUGAAUCAUAAUUUCUUGUUGCCGAAAUAGGAAGAUUUGGUUAUAGAAGAAACUACGCACAACAAGUUCAGCACUUUUGUUCUUUUUUAUAAUUAAGAAACAAACAUAACCCAAAAAGACAUAUGUUUAAGCAAUCAAUAUUGCAAGAAUAAAGGAGACGGUAGAAUGAUUGCAAGGGCUAAAGCCAUAUAUAGUAGGGGAAAGGAUAUGAAACCUGUUUCCUUCUUCAAAUUAUUUGGAAAGAUGGAGCUGAACAGGUUCUGAGCCACAAACCUCUUGGAAUUUUAUGUGGAAAAGUAACUGACAUGAAAGAAGGAGAAUCAAUAGUGUUAUGAUAAAGCUGAAACUCUUCACUUGUAGCCUAUGGGUCUAGUUUCUACUCAUUAAUGGAGAGAAUUAUUGAAUUAGGAAGCAAAAAAGAAUAUAAAGUCGGCAACUCAAUGCAAAGUCAUGAUAGGAGUUGCGAAGUCACUUUCCUUGAAUUCAAUAAAAAAACUGGCCACUUGUCCUCUCUAUAAUUCCAAUAUUGUCCUCACAAAUUUCUUUAUGUGUUAAGGAAAAGACCAUAAAUACGUAGAGAUGUUAAAACAGUGUAUCGGCUGAAUAACCAAGCUACUGUUUACUGCAAUAGAACCUUGACAUGACAUAAUUACACGUAUAAAAUUAUUCUUACUAAUAAUAAAGGUUUAAAUAUUGGUCAAGUAAUUUUGGUUGGACCACACUUGACUUUUUACUUAUAAAAAAUUUAGAAUUAUUUGUAAAAAUUAUUUUAUUCAUAACUUUUAAUAUUCAAAAAGCUUGUAAAAUAGUAAAAGAUAAAAUCAGAAAAGCAAAGCAGAGAAGAAACAAUACCAAGAAGAUAGCAACUAGCAAAAUCUUCUAUCCAAAGAGAAUGAAUUUUUGGAGCAAAAACAAAAUUAAAAAAUGGCCAAGUCAAUGCCACAAGUCGUUGCUGAGGUUUCCAAGUAACUUCCCUCGAAACAUGAUAUAUAUAAAUGCAUAUUUCCUAUUUUUUGUCGUUCGGAACAUAGAAUUUUCCUUUAUUUUUAAUCUAUUCUCACUUUGUAAAUUUUGUUUGACCAUUGGCUUUCUGAAUCUAAUCUAACCUCGUAUAAUUUCAUCAUGAGGUUUGUAUAUUAAUAAUGAUCAUUGAAGAAUCUAAAAUUAACAAUUAUCAAGUGGCCACUAAAGAAAAACUAAAAUGAAGUAUACUUUGUGUGAAAAUUUUUACUUUAUUGUUCAGAGUCUAGUCUUCUAGAGAUCAUAUUCUAUCUUGUGUGUGACAGACACCAAUUCUUAAUGCUCUGCACUGAAAACGCAAUAUACAUUUGCUGAAUCGAAAUUUAUAUUCAAAAGGAGAAAUAAUCCAAUUUAAUAAAUUACUAAAAAUGUCAUGAAUUAUAAUUCCUUGUUGCUGAUAUAGAAAGAUUUGUUUAUAGAACAAACUAUGCCCAACAAGUUUAUCCCUUGAUAUAAGUAAUGAGAAAGGAAAGAGGCUUGUGCAUGAUGGGGAUUCAGCUUCUUGCUUAUCAGCCAUUUCAGAUUACUUCAAAAAAUGAAGGGGAACAGAUCAAUUCAUUCUCUUCCAGAAUAUCCUGUUUAUUAUUUCCAUGGUUAUCGGUAUCAUAUCUGUUUAUCAAACCGAUAUAUUAUCCUUCAACAAUUGAUUAUUUAUGUCCUUCAUGAUGGCAGUUUUCCUAUGCCACCUAUUCUGCGUACUGUAAUCAUUCAAACCUCAUCACUCAUCAAAUACUCCCAAAUUCGUUCUUUAAUUUUACAUCGAUUUUAACUUUUAGAUUUGGUGUUGGUAAUGUCACCCAGGUAGCUAGAGGCCGCAUACUGUCAAGGAAACUACCUUGUUACAUUUCCUUCUUCAAUCCUUCAGCAAACAAAUAAAUUUGCUAGCAUAAAUCAAACAAAAAUCAAACUUUAUUAGAUUUAGCAAUACAUCCAAUUUCCAAAUAAAAUAAAACGGAUACAAGAUACCAUCCACUAACAGUGACACAACUCCUGCAAACAAUUCAAAAUAUAUUACAGCAUAACAAUAUUCCUCCCCUUCCCACCCCAUUUAUUUACAAUGUAUCCCAACCGGCCAAUCGGCAGGCAAAGUUGGGUAAGGGGAGUGUUGCUUCCUCGAUUACUUGCAAGUGACGUAUACUUCCACUACACCACAAUCACCAUCUAUUCUCUUGGAUUGGGUUCCGACCAGUGCAUCAAAGUGUAAACUGACAAUGUUGUGAGGCGGAAGCGUAUCUUUUUCUGCCAUCGAAUAAACUUUCCUCCUUUAAAGUGAUCUAACUUGAUAAUGUUGGUAGCUAUCUCUUUAAGUGAAGCCAUUUUGAAUGCUAAGAAAAUAAGUCUUAAAAUUGUUGGUACAAAUGGGGUUUAAAUGGAAUUCAAAAACUAGCAUAAUUGACUUCAAGACAAGCCUUUCAAUAGAAGUUAUAUUUAAAUUUAUUUUGCCCCCACCACUCAGUAUGCAAAAGAGGAAUAAUGCGAAUAGCCUUAGGGAUACAAUGAAAUCAACAUCUAACUUCAUCUUACACUUUAUGAGAGUAGACCGCUAGAUACACCUGAGGAUUUACAAAAUUAUUUGGCUUUAGAGCUUACUUUUUGCAACAAGUAGAUUAUAAGGAAUUUGGACGCUUUUGUAGUUGAUGGGAACUUAAGUGUUUACGUUAAUAGAACAAAAUAUUUUUCUUACUCUUUGAUAUUUCUGCUCUUGUUUUGUUUUUGAUUUGAUGUCUCAAAAUGGUUGGCAACAAGCCCUUCCUAUAGGCUUCCUAUAGGCUUGCAAGUGUCUCUUCUUCAAUGACCCAACCCUUUCAUUAAGGCACCAUUUUGUCUAAAAGACAUCUUUACAUUUUGUUAGACAUAACUUUUGGAUAAAUGUAUUAUUUCAAUAGUCAUCUUAUGAAAAGAUAACUAUUCAUUCUAUAAAAUAUAAUCUUUGAGUUAUAAUUUGUAAUAAUAACAUUCCGUAUUUAACUUUUGAGCUAUGGUGUCUUUUUAAUUUAUCUCAUAACUUUUGAAUGUCAUUUUACUAAGAGACAUAACCAUUCAUAUGAAAACUUGCCUACAAUCCAAUAGACACACUAUGUCACUUUAUGUGACAUAACCUUUGAGCUAAGAUAGCUUUUCAUUAUAUGAUACAAUCUUUGAUUUUGAAAAUGCACCAACAACUUUGACCUUAUAAACAACUCUAAAACCACCUUCCCCUAGCUUGAUGUCCAUAGAAAAGCUAUCAGUAGCACGAGCUACGGUAGCAAGCUCCAAUAUUGGAAGCUCCAUGUCUUCAUCCUGGCCUUGAUUUUCUUGAUCAUUUUCCUUAUUGUCUUUAGUUUCUUUAAAACAGUAGCCAAAAUAGGCUUGGCAUUCACCAUAAAAUAUGAUAGAUUCUUAUGCAUUUUGAUUGAGCUAGAUAAUUGGACAAAAAGCUGAUGUGGUUUUUGAGAUCACACAAAACCAUGUAUCUCCAGUUAUUUGCUUCAUUAACAACUCUAUUUUGACACCGAUAAGCAUUGAAGAAACUGCGUGUUGAUUUGCUAGCAUCAUUACUAACAAAGGAACAAAAUGAGCAUUAUUUGUGAAGGAUAUUUCAAAGUUACGUCUGAACUUUCUGGGGCUUCUAUAAAUGUAAUAACUGACAAUAAACAGCCCCAAAACCACAGCACAGUAGUGUUCCAAUCACUGCAGCAAGCUCCAUCCUGAGCUUAUCUUUCAAUUCUGUAUGACAGAAUUUGAUAAAGAAAAGCAUAUAUGAACAAAAAAAAGUAGUGAAAACAAGAGAAAAUGUAAACUCAUACCUGAUUUUGGAGCAGACACUCUAACAUAUAGGUCCUGCCCUACUGAUUGAAAUUUUCUGUAAUCAAUCAAAUUACCAAACCAAAAGGCGCAUCCCCAAACUCUUCCUCCAUUAUCUGAACUAGUGUAUGCUUGGCUUUCUACAUUCCAUGUGAAGUCCUGUAUCAUCAGUUUGGUUCAGAACAAGUCCUGUGAUCAAUGAUUUCUAUUUGAGACAUUUUGUAUGGUUGAAAUAUAAAAUAGAAAUACCCGGACAUUGAAGAGAUAUUGAAGAGAAUUUGCAGGAAUCAUAACUCCAAAACCACAAAUGCUUUUCAGCUCUGGUAAUUUCAAUAAGGAAAGUUUCCUUAAUUUGGGAAGAAUGAAUGUUAUGCUAACAGCCCUUCCUUCUCCUCUGUUAUUUUCUCCCUCCUCUUCUGAUUCUAUUAUUUGCUCCAUUUUUUCACAAAGCCUGACAUCAAUUUCCUCCAAAUUUUGAAAACACUGCAACAGCUUAAUUGAACACAACUUCUUCAUCCUCGAACAGUUUCUCAAGUAAAAACUUUUGAGAGAAGAGAAAAUGGCAGGUGGUGUUGGGAUCUGAGAUGGAGAUACACAUAGAUUCAUGGUUUUCAUGAAUAAGAUAAAAAUGUUAUGAUCACCAUUUAAACAUAAUAUAUAUAUAUAUUUAGAGUAAUCACACUAAUCAUAUCAAAUUAAACUCAUACUCAUAAUUUGCACGCAACAUCAAAUCACCAAAUCUUAUAUAGAUAAUUUAAACUAUUAAUCUUGUUUAAUUAUAUUUGUAUUCAUCAUUUGAAGGGCUUUGUAAAUUUGUAAAGUAAACAACAAUAAGCAAUAAUUAUGUUUAUUUUCAAUAUCUUGGUACUGAUACAUCACUUCCCAAAUAUGCUUUCCUUUUCUUUUUCAUAUAUAGACAUUGUUUUAUUUGGAGAUUGUAGCUAGCUAGACACCAUUAUUGCCAGUCCAAGAGGUGACACUUUGGAGAUUGAAUAGCAUUUAAUUUUCAGGUGUUUUGGUCUUGAGAUGAGUGGCAACAUUAAUUCUUUUGGAUCUGUUGAAUUAGCUUUUGUAUAUAAAAGAAGGUAUACCUCCUCAAACAUGGAAAAUCCCCUUUCAAACCCAUAAUUUUAAAGAAAGAAAAUCCUAAUUUAAUAGAUUAGUUGCCAACUAAGGACAAGCAUUGUUGAUGUGACAUUUAUUUUGGUAUAUUCUAACACUCGUUGACUAGAUUCAAUUGGAUAGGAUUCUUAAUUUUGAUGAGAUUUAUGGGUAGUGAUUAAACAAUGGAAGUGUUGACAAUGGAGGUUCUAAGUCCCUUGCAUCUAAGAAAGAAAUGAAUUUGUUCAAUUGACACUGCUUUGGUACAUAUAGAAAGUAAGCUAAUACCAUAGCCAUAUUUCUUACGUGACUUCCAACAAAUUUGAGACUUCAGUAUGGCAAAAUAUUGGGUAUUUGAAUAAAUUACAAUACAAAUAGAGAAAGAAAAAAGAAAGAGACUAAAUAGAAAGGGGAAGUGGAAAGAUCCCCAAAAUCAAUUAAUUGUAAGUGGAAGGAGCAAAGCCCAACUUUGUUGGCAACAAAGUCAUGUUCCCACAGAUGAUUUUGUUCUUGUUGCAGAGCGUUGUCAAUAAUAUUUACUUCCAGGCUGUCUUUUGGUAAAUAGAAGCCGAUAAUGGUUCUCUGGAUCAAGCUCAAAUAUAGCUCCAUCUUCAAAAAUGAAUUGCAAAUCCUGACACUGAAGACAAAAUCAAGCCUUGUUAUUGCUUUUAAUAAAAGCAAAUAAAAUUUGAAGGGUGUUCAGCUGGGCAAUUACUAGUUCCCAAGUAACAGUUUUAACUGCUACUUUCCUGUACCAAAUUCCCAAGCAACGAUUCUUAGAGCUUCCAGGACUAAAGAAACCAAGCUCAAGGAUUCCGUCCAUCACUAACAGACUGGGAGGAGGCGGAGAUAUCGAUUCCAUCAGCAAUACUUGAAAACAAUAUUAGUAAAACAGUGUUGGUGAACAUGGAAGACAGAAUGUCCUUUUAAACUUUCAGAGCUUGUAAAACUCAUAGAAAAACUUUUCAGUUUGGCAGAUUUUAGAGAGCAAACAUAUUUAAACUGAUGAUCGUUGACUAGUAUGCAAAUCUUCCUUGAAAAGACCAAACUUUUCAGGUUGCAUAGAAUUCUUAUUUCUAAUUUUUAUGAAGCUUCAGUGCAGUCAUCUUGUAUUGUCUCUGUGAAUCAAAUAUAUAAAUAAAUAUAUAUAUAUAUAUAUAUAUAUAUUACCCACAAAUAGACACUUGCAGGGCGCUAAGCUCAAACUGGGACUAAACCACUGGUAUCAAAGCAUAAGGUACAUGACAUACUGACUGAUAGCCUAUAAUAAUGGCUUGGAGAUAAAAGAGCUAAGUAUACAGUUUAUCAAUUAUCAAGCAUCUAGUACUGACAGAGUUAUUUCAUUUGUGGGAGACGAUACAUUCUUGUCUGAUGAAGAAUCUUAUUCAAGUGGACUUUUCUUAAACAAAACACCAGGUUGUUUGGGGUGUGGCAAUUCAUUUUCGCUUCCCAAUGUCAGAAUCACAAAUGACAUACUUGGCCUAUCCUCUGGAUAUGCUGUUGUAAACUUAAACGACUGAUAAUGGAUGAAUUGUAUCACUUCUGAUAGAUUGCAAAGACUCUCCUAAGCAUUCGUCAACAAGUUUUAAAGGACUGCCUUAUUUACAUAAUCUUCAUGCCUGCAGCAAAUUGAAACCCUUUUAGGUUUUAUCAAUCCAAGAUAGGCAACAAAAAAUUGAUUAUAAAAAUAUCUGCUGAAACUGACAUGUUCAACAAGGUUGCCGCUUUGUGUUGGAUGGUAAAGCCCUCUAUUUUUUCUUCCCACUUAUUAUCUCCAUCAAUAAUAUACCAAAGCUAAAGAGAUCUGAUUUUACUGGAAGCAGUCCAUCAAUAGCAUAUUCCGUGCCAUAUAACCACUGCAGAACAUUAUCAAAAGCAAUAAAUAUAUGAGGGUAUGUAGACAUUAUGAAAAUAAAGUGAAAGUUAGUAAGUUCCAACCACUCUUUUAGCGUUCCCUUCAGUUUGGUCUCCUCCAAAAGUUCUAGCCAGUCCAAAAUCUGAAACUUUUGGAUUCAUCUCACUAUCAAGCAGAACGUUAUUAGUUUUGAGAUCUCUGUGAAUAAAAAAAAAUUAUUCAAAUGAAAUGGCAAAGAAUCUAAUUAACUCGUUUGAAGAAACUUUGGAUUUGCUAGCAUCACCAUUAACAAAGUGUUUUUUUUUUUUUUGUUUAUUUUGCAAAGGACAACUUGGCACGAUCUCUGUAAAGGAAAUGACUGACAGUGAACAACCCCAAAAGCACAACACAGUGUUAAUGCAGGAAGUUUUAUCCUAAGCUUAUCUUUCAAUUCUGUAUGAUGAAAUUUGAUAAAGAAAAGCAUACAUGAACAAAAACAAAAAAAGCAUUGAAAACAAGAGAAAAUGUAGACUCCUACCUGAUUCUGAAGCAGACAUUUUAACAUAUAGAUCCUGCCCUUUUGAUUGAAAUUGUCUGUAAUCAAUCAGAUGAUGAAACCGAAGGGCUCAACCACUACCUAUUCCUCUGUUAUCUGAACUAGUGUAUGCCAUAUAGGAAUAGUUCUACAGAUACUUAGCCCUGCGUCCCUUAAAAUUCAUACUUUUAGUUACCCAAGAAUGUGUAGCAUCUUGCAUUUUCAAAUCUUUUAAAUCUGACAAAUCCAUCUCUACUUUGGCAGUUGAAUGGCUUAUUGUGCUUACACCUUUGGGACCAGUCUGAUGAGUUCUAUCUUUCGGGAAAUUCAGGCUUAAACAUCAGCUUUCAGGGAAUUAAGGCUUGAAUCCUUUAAAAAGUGCAAGCUGAGCACCAUCACGAUUCCUUUUUGAACCACAAAGUCCAUAUCUGUCACAGUAGUCUCUUGGAGCAAAUGAGAAAAGCAUCCAAGCUUGCUUUCUGCAUUUCAUGUGUAGUCCUGUGAUCAAUGAUUUCUAUUUGAGACGCUUUGGAUGGUUGACAUAUAUAAUAGAAAUACCAGGUGGGUAGAUCAUGCAUUGUUUUCAUAAGAUGAUGUGAUUGAGUGACUUUUGAUGAAUGCAGAAUACACAAAGUGCAGCAGAAAACAAAUUAUAAACAUUGAGGUCCCAGAUAAUUUGUAUUUUUCAAUAAUAUGCAGCUUGUUCCUCUAAUCAUUCUCUUGAGUGGACAAACAUAACUUCAAUGACUUACUUGUAUUAAAUGAUUUCCAAUUCAUGAACCAGUUGAGACCAGUGUGGAUGCGUUUUCUCACAUCUGAUAGGUUGCAGGACAGUCCUAAGAAUUCACCACCGAGUUCAACAGGGGUGCCUUCCUCUCAUAAUCUCCAUGCCUGCAGCAAAUUGAAAACCUUUUAGUCAUUUUAUUAAAGUAUUUUAAUUCAUAAUAAUUAAAGUAUUUUAUUUAAGUGUUAAAGUUCUAUUUAUAGUAGUAGUAAUUAUUAUUAUUAUUAUUAUUAUUAUUAUGAGUGUGUGUGUGUGUCUUUUUUUGUUUUAAAAUUUGAAAAAAAAAAUUAAAACCAAAUUUGAAAAAUGUGAGUGAAAAUGAAAAUAAAGGAAAGGGGUAGGACGUGUCAGAUAGCAAUUGGCUGAGAUAUGCAGAUUGAAGGGUGUUUAGUUGGAGAUUUUUCUAUCAUUCAUAAAAUUAAAGACUUGGUUUUAUGUUUAUAUUAAAAAAGAGAAAUUAUUUAGCAAAUGAGAAAUUAAGAGAUAAAAAUAUUUAGCAAAUGAGAAAGAGAUGAAAAUAAACUCACAAUUAAUGUUUGCUGUUUUUAAUAAGAAGCAAGAGCCUUGCACCCUCAUUUAAUCAAACACCUCUUCUCCAUCUCAUUCUACCAAUACUGAACAAAGGGAGAAAGGACAUCCUUAGCAUCAGGCUGAUCCCAUUCCACUGAUUCCCACCAUUCUCUCGGGCUUACUAUGAUUCGUUUUAGAAAAGGAGGAGGCAAUGGUUUCCCAUUUUCAACAAGGGGAAGAGACAAUGGGAUCCUCUUUACUUCUGGACAAUCGAAUAAUGUGACAUGUUGGAGAGAAUCUACAGGAAUCACAAGUCCACCACGGCAUAUGCUUUUCAAUUUUGGUAAUUCUUCCAAGACUAAUGAUUUUAAUUUGGGAAGAAUAAAUGUUGUUCCUUCUCGUUCCUGAUUUUCUUCUGAUGCUAUUAUUUCCUCCAUUUCAUAACAAUUUCCAACUAUAAUUUCCUCUAAGUUUUGGAGGCUUUGCAACAGCUCAACUGGAUACAACUUCUUAAUCUCGUAACAAGAAUACAGUUUCAGUGUUUUAAGAGAAGAGAAGAAGGCAGGUGGUGUUGGAGCAUGAGAGGUAGAUUCAAUUUCUGCUGCUACUCCUACUCUCACAACUUCACGCAAGUUCCACAAUGACUCAAGCCAUAGCUCCUCAACGUUGUGAAGUGCGUUGCAAGACCAUGAUGACAAGUCAACCACACACUCUAUCCCUUCACACCUCCGAAUUCUACAUUUCUUCAAGUCAGUUGCCUUACGAAACAAAGGAAUAUGGCUUAAACAUUUGAAAUCAUUACACCCCUCAAUACGUAAAGUAUGAAGGUCAUUUGGGAGCACUACAUCGUCACACCUUUCUAUCUCCAAAUUUGUGAAUUCAACAUUUUUCUCAAUUUCGUUGAAAUCUGGGGAAUACCCAAUAUAAAUAUUCACAUCUGGUCCCACUUGAAAAUCGAAAGAUGUAGGCCAUUUACCUUGUGUAGACUCUGCAUAUUUCUUAAACUCUUGCAUGUCGCAAAAUGAACAUGAAACACACUCAAGCUUCCUCAAUUUGCCUACUUCUUCCCCCCUUAAAUGUAACUCCACCAGUAAGCAUUGCAGAUGAGAAAUCUUCACUAAUAUUCCCAUUGGUAGCUCCUUUAGAUGCGUUGACCCUAGACGAAAAUAUCUAAGGUUUUGUAACAUUUCUAUACCAUGAGGAAACUCCUCAAUGCUUGUACUAAAAAGGUCCAACUUUCUCAGUGCUCUGAGCUCUGCUAAUGAAGGCACAUAUUUUAACAUGUGACAAUUAGCAAGUAUCAAUGCAUUGAGAUUUUUCAACUUAGAGAUGGAAUUGGGUAGAUUCUCAAUCUCAUAAUUACCAGAAAGAUUUAGAACUUUUAGCCCAAGCAUGUGCUCAAAGAAAGAUUCUGAAAUCCUUUUUAAGUCACAAUAUUGCAAUAUCAAAGUUGACAAAUGAGGACAUUCAGGUGAUAUGUGAGCAGGGAUUUCUAUUAAUUUUGAAUUUCGCAUCAAAGAAACCUUCUCAACACUCGUUGUCCAUUCUUGCUCACUUGGUAGUUCCUCCAACUGCACAUUGGCUUUUACCAUGAACUGAUGACCUUUAAUAUACAAUGCCAGGUCUCUCAAAACAUCAUGCAUCUUAACUCCUCUUUCAUCCAAAUAAGUUUCAUCCCUCUCUAACAAGCAAUUAUUUUCAAGCUUAUUUAAAAUGCUAUGGCCUCUGUCAUGCAUUUCUUUUCUAGUCCUCAAGCCAUCAAGGAGUCCUUCAUCUAUCCAGUUUUCAAUUAAUUCAACUUUUUCAAUCACAAAAUCUUCAGGAUACAAGGAGCAAUAUAAGAAACAAUUUUGAAUUUUUGGAUCUUUCAAAUGGUCAUAACUGAACCUCAAACGCUCAAAUAUUUCAACAUCUGAUCCUUUCACACUUUUCACAUGCUCUUCUAAUUCAGUUAAUGCAUUUCUCCACUCACAAAUAUCAUUUACCCCCUUCAUGCUUUCAGCUAUUGUGACAAUGCUAAGUGGUAAACCGCCACAGUGCUCAACAAUUUUGUUGACAAUGUCUUUUAAAUUUUGAUCUUGUACAACACUAUGCCCCACAUGAUCUAAGAAUAAGUUCAUGGACUCUGUCUUUGAAAGUGGUUGCACUUUGACCACCUUACAAUCCAUAGAUUGACAAACCUCAAUCGAUCUACUAGUGAGUACAACUUUCCUCUCCAUGCCUAGUAUUGGUUCAGGGAUUCCCACAUCCAAUAAAGAAAAUCGUUUCCAAACAUCAUCUAAAAUUAACACAUAUCUUUUUCUCUCCAAAACAUCCUUUAUUGUUGUUGCUUGUUGCAAUUUAUUUUUAGGAAGAGAUUGUUUAAGAGAAUCUGCGAUAUCUUCUUGCAAUUUGAAAAUAUUCAAAUUUUUUGAUACAGUGACCCAUAUCACUUUAUCAAACUUCUCACUUUCCUUUAACAAUUGAUUAUUGAUAUGCUUCAUGAUGGUAGUUUUCCCUAUACCACCCAUUCCACAUAUUCCAAUCAUUCCAACCUUAUCACCCAUCAAAUACUUCCAAAUUUGCUCUAUUACAUCAAUUUCACCUUUUAUAUUUGGUGUUGGUAAUGUCACCCCAGCGGUUGGAGGCCCAUCAACUGCCACACCGUUAGGGAAACUACCUUGUUGGUGAAUUUCCUUUACCUCUUCAAUCUUUCGACAAACAAAUUUUCCAAAAUGACCACGUAAGAAGUAUGAAACAACACGGAACUUGGUUUCAAUCUUUUCCAUUUCAGUGUUUACCUUUUCUACAUCUUUAAACCAAUUCUCCACUUCUUUCUUCACCACUUUUCCAUGACGAAGCUCCGCUUCCUUUUUUAAUACGAGGUCUUCCUUUUGAUCAUUUAGAUCAUUCACUUUUCUUCGAAGAUCAUUCAUAUGUUCUUCAAGUUUCGGGUGAUGAUCUAUGUAUGUACAGAUUGGACCACCAAAGCACUUUAUUGCUUCAAAAAUUGGCCCUAUAAGCUCCAUAUAAGCUAUUCCCUGUAGUUUAAUAAACCAAGAUAUAUUAUAUCUCCAUAUGACAUAAGCUACUCCCUCUUUAUACUAAAAUUCUAUAUUUUCCAUAUAAUAUAGAAUAUGUUAGAAAAAAAUGUUACUAAAUAAAAGAUUUUUACCAAUUCUUCUUAAGAAAAAACAUAAUAUUUUUGAAAACAAUAUAAGAAAAAAGAUGUUUUUGUUUCCAUCAUGUUUGAGUAUAAUAUUUACAUUUCCAACACUGUUUAUAUCUAAAUGAAUGUAUUCAUUUUGCCCCUUAAAGAACCAUCGCAAAUUCUUGAAUAUAUCAUAUCUAUAUGGUUCCUAGUUUUGAUCAUUACAACAAUAAUAAAAGGAUGGUGAGAAUGGAGAAGUCAAUCUACUAUAAAUAUAUAAAUAACAAAAUUUUGAUAAAAGAAGGAAACGAUUUAAAAUUGAUAACUUCCUCUUCUAACACAUACACAUAUUAAAUAAAUGUUAUAUAUUUAUUAAUCAAUGCAAAAUUUUAAUUUUCAUAUUGAAAGACUAAAUUUACUAAAUUUGAUUAUCCAUUUUACACAUUUAAUAAAAAUUUAAGUUAGAAUAUGUAAGAAUAUCUAAUUGUUAGCGUUAAUAACUGUAGAAAUUACCAUUUAAUGUUGAAAAUGGAUAUUUUGACAAAAAAAAAUACAGGUAUAAUGCUAAAAAAACCCUUGAAUUAUUUACGAAAAUUUAAAAAAAAUUAUUCUUUUAUUAUGUUCAACCAUGCCCUUAUGCUUUUAUUUAAUUUAUAUUAAAUAAGCCUUUAUAACUAAUAGUUGAUUAAUUGUUAUUAAUCAAAAUAUCUCUCGUCAUUUUAUACUCACGUGGUGUUGAUGUGGCGUUGAUGUGUGGAGUAAAGAAUGAGAUAUGAUUAUGUCAUCAUACCACAUCAACAAGCUUUAAAAUAUCUUAAACAAUAAUUACAAGAAUAAACUGAGAAUGCAGAAUGACAUUAAAAAUACAUAAUUUCUUCUACAAAUUAUUUGGAAAGACGAAGAGCAGAGGUUAAGUUGACCAGUCAAUAAUUAAUUCCUUGGCUCCUUGUUAGGUACUACUCCUAUCUUGAGAGGACGUUGGUUAAAUAUGGGGAGAAAGGGACUGUCAAAAAAAAAUUAUCGGGAGAAAGGGAAGAUUAAUAUAUAAUUAUUCAUAAACAGUUGUUUUUAUACUAGAGCUAGAAUAUUUCCUUAUAUUGGAGGUUUAUUAUAAAAUAAAUCAGGGCUAGUACAACUAAUCUAUUUAAACUUAACGGCCAUUUUUUCUUUUGAUGGGAAAAAUAAAAACAAAGAGAAUUUCACAAACAUCUCAUAUAAGAUUAAUAAAUGUCAUAUAUUUGUAUUAAAUAAAUGUCAGGUAUCAAUGUAAAGUUUUAAUUUUGAUAUUCAAAGACUAAAUUUAGUACAUUUGAUUAUUUUCAUAUAUUCAGUUUACACAUUUAAUACAAAUUUAAAUUAGAUAAUUAGGUAAGAAUUUCUAAUUGUUAGCCUAAAUGAAUAUUGAAAUGACCACUUAAUGUUAAAAAUGGAUAUUUUCAUGCAAAAGCAUAUAUUUGAUAGCAUAACUCAAACAAAAGAAAAACUUUAUACUAUUAAAAUUUGCACUGAUUCCAUUUCGUUCUUUUCUAAUUGUUUCAUAAUGCUUGUAUUGUCUAUUAUUUCUAUUAAUUUUUUUUAACAAUUACUCCUAAUUUGAAUUUUCAGUACUUAUUACUAAUAUAAUAGUUAGUCAACAAUUUACAGUCAAAAUUUACCUUAUAUAAUUACUUAUUGCUUUACCUUACAAAUAUGAGAUGUUGGUACAUUUUUGUUAGAGACUAUAGUUGCUUAGGUUAUUUUAAUCCUUUUUUUCCCAUAUAUUUUGUCUACUAAUAUUUAGUUUUAUGGUUCCCUAGUCUCAAUUCCAUCAUCAAAAGUUUGAUUUCUUCUUUUUGUAUGCCUCUUUGAAUUAUUCAAUUCGAUCUUUAUAUAUAUUUUGACCUCUUUGAUUUAUUAUUAUUUGGUAAUUAUGUAUUUCGAAGUCCUUGCUGAAUUAUUCAAUUUCUUUAUUUUUUUAGUAAAUUGUUUUACUAUGCUCAUAUUUGUAAAUUUUCAUCAAAAUCAAUUACUCUUCCAACUAUCAAGAUCUUUAAGACAUUAUUGAUCAACAUGCAUAAUUCCAAUUUUUUUUUUUGGCAAUUUUUUAAUGUUCUUAUUUAGAUUCUAAAUUAAAAGAAUUAUUGUAAAUAACAUCAUCACCCUUGUACUGAACUGACUAAAUAUAGUUUUGAAUAAUAAUAAACAUCAUCUAGGCCAAAAAUAAUAAUAAAAUAUUAAACAUCAAUGACCAAAGAAAUAUUAAGCAUUUUGAAUAUUCGUAAAGAUUUUCAAUUGAGUCUCCUUGAUGAAUUAUUCAAUUUCUUUAUUUUUUAAGUAAAUUGUUUUACUUUAUUCGUAUUUGUAAAUUUUCAUUAAAAUCAUUUAUUCUUCUAAUUAUCAAGAUCUUUACGACGUUGUUCAUUGCAUGGGAAAAUUUUCAUUAAAAUCAUAUAUUUUAUGUUGUUAUCAAUAUUCCUAACUAAAAAGUAUAUAUUGUAAAUAAAAUCCUCAACCUCGCAUUGCACGGGCUAAAUCUAGUUUUCAAUAACAUCACCUAAAAUAAUAAUAAUAAUAAUAAACAUCAAACAACCAAGCAAAUAUUAAUCAUUUUGAAUAGUGUAAUCUAUCCAUACGUAAGGAAUAGUAUAUCUUUUCGAUAAUUAGAACAAGAAAGCUUGUGAAAACAACAAUAUAUCUCAAAAAAGACAUUUGAAAAAUACUUGCCAGAAUAAACAGAGAAUGACAUACAAAACACCUGGUUUCUUCUUCAAAUUAUUUGGAAAGAUGAAGCCCAAAGGUCAAUUAAAAUGAUCCACAAACCUCCCUGACUCUUUGUUCAGCACAAACUUCUUAGGCAGAAGAAACAAAUUGACAUAAAAUUAACAAGGAAAAUUAUUUUAAUAAAAAUGAAAAUUUUAUGUGCUAAAAUUUUCAGAAUCAUUCAUUUUCAGUUUUCACUAACUAUAAUUAAUUUUCACCUAAUUAAGUGAAAAAAAGCAUGACACAGACCAAUAAACAAAAUAAUUAUGUGGAAGGAAAGAUGAUGAAUCUGUGUUAUAAAUCUAAAAUAUGAACCCAUAUCUAUACUAAACAGUUUAAUUUACCUAGUCAAAUGAGGCAGAUGAGCUGAUACUUCUAUCCUCAAGGAUUCUUGCUUAAGUUUGCAAAAGUAGAUCUCCUUGCAAAAAAUUGUCAAGAAAAUAGCAACAAGCAGAUCUCCUUCCGAAAAUAUCCUCUAUGAAGGAAAAUGAAUAAUGAAGCACAUGAGUUAUUGAAAAGUGGGAAAGAUUAAUAUUUAUGUAAGAAACUGAAAUAAAUGCCCAACUUGUGUCUUAAUAUUGACAUGGAACUUAUAAUAAGAUGAAUUUAUGUUAUAAUUUAAGAUUCUGAUUAAUUAAUGUUAUCAAAGAUAAAACUAAAUCAUAAGUACACACAACUUAAUUCAGUAAGGCAGUGAAGUGAUAUUUCUAUCCUGAAAAGACCCUCAAUUAAUUGGAGAAACAAGUGCAGUCAAGAAAAAUAGCAGCAACAAAUAGAUUAUCUCCUUGCAAAAAAGAAAUCCCCAAUCCUAUGAGAGAAGAGAAUCAAUGGAUUAUGAAGAAAAAAAAUUAAAGUCGGCAGCACCCAAUCAAUUGACUCUUUGGUUGAUGCAUGAUUCUUUUUUAUCUAAAGAGUAGGCUUUAAAUCCCUCUUUCCCCAAUUAAAAAGAAAGAAUAAAAAUCAGAAAAUAUAAAGAAAAUGAAUUAUGAAAAACAUGAACUAUUGAAAAGUGGGCAAGAUGAAUAUUUGUACGGAUCUUAUGUUAAGAUGGGUUUGUGUUAUAAGGUAAGUUUCUGAUUAAUUAAUGUUACCAAAGAUGAAAGCAAAUAAUAAGCAUAGACAGUUUACCUGGGUCAGUGAGGCAGUGAAUUAAUUGAUACUUCUAUCCUCAAAAGGUCUUUAUUAAUUUUCGGAAACAAGCAUGUGGAAGAAAAAUAAACAGCAACAAGCAGAUGAUCUCCUUGCCAAAUUAAAAGAAAAUCCUAAACUUAAUCUUCCGUGAGAGGAAAAUUAAUGAAUUAUGAAGCAAAUAAGAGUUAAAAGUCAAUCCAAAGUCGUCGCACUAGUUGUGAAGUCACUUUCCUCGGAGCUGUUUCACAAUAAUGCAAAUGUGAAUAGAAGAAAAACUGGCAAAGUAGGACAGAAUUAUGGGGCCACUUAUCCUACUCUCCUUCAUUAUUUGAAAAGAUAAAUUGUUGAAGAAUAGCCCUCAAUUGGGGUAUUUCCAUUCCAUCAUCCGCUGUUUAAAUCAGAAAAAAAGAAGCAGCAAAGCAAAGCCAAGGUAAGAUGAUAGCAGCUAGGAAAAUCUCUUGUCCAAAUAUUAAUAUAUAUCUUUCGUGCCAAGAGAUAAUAAAUUAUGAGAAAAAAUAAUUAAUAGUCGUUGGGAAAGGUGAGUCAAUGCAGCAAGUCAUCGUUAAAAUUAAAUUAUGGGAAAAAAAAUAAUAGUAGGUGAGACAAUGCUGUAAGUCAUUGCUAACAUUGCUAACGUUUGCACCAAACUUUAAAUUAUGGGGAAAAAAUUAAUUAAUAGUCAAUGAGUCAAUGCUGCAAGUCGUUGCUAACAUUCCGAACGUUUGAACCAAACUUUAAAUUAUGGGGAAAAAAAUAAUUAAUAGUCAAUGAGUCAAUGCUAAAAUAUUGCUAACAUUUGUACAAAACUUUAAAUUAUGAGAAAAAAAUAAUUAAUAGAUAGUGAGUCAAUGCUAACAAUAUUGCUAACAUAUGUACAAAUCUUAUAUAAAUCUUAAUAAUUAUUAUAUGAAUCUUCUAUAAAGCCGAUUGACUUGAGAAAAGAUAAACAGGGAAAGUAAGGUUAUCCUCGAAUUUUUUCUUUUUAUUAACAUAUGACAAGUUCCCAGGCAAAAGCGAAAAUUCAAAUUAUUUCUAUAAUGAAGGGCUAAUUAACACCUUAUUAAUUGUUAAUUAAGUCUCCUUAAAACUACUCAUUCAGAUAAAUCAUAAUGUUUUUCCUUUUGAUAUAUAUAAAAAAGCUGUUCUAACUAUAUGAAUUUGUUCGAUCAUUGAUUUUCUCAAUCAAUCAGUUAGAGUUGAGCAGCAGAUAAUGUUUUAAGAAGUUGACGUGAAUAAAAUAUUGUGAGACAAUGAGCAGAGGGAAUGAGUAAACAAAUAUAUUACUCGACUCUAUAACAAAGAGUAGGAACUUCAAAUGUCAAUCUAUGAUUUAAUUAUCGGAUUAAUAUGUGCUACUAACACAAUCAAUGGUCCUGAAUAUCAAGAGUUGUUUGUUAUUAACACUACUCUGAAUUAGUAUUUGUAAUGUUUUUCCUUUAUUCUUAAUCAAUUCUAGAUAUGGAAAUUUGUUUGACCGUUGGCUUUCUGAAUCUAUCAGGAAUUGAAUAGACAAGGUGUUGUUAUAGGAAAGUUCAUGCAAUUGAAUACAUAAAGUGUGAAGUAAUGAGCAGCCAUUUUUAAUUAUUGAUUAAGUUGCUGCAGUUCUGAAACUCGUGAUUAUGAUGAGAUGUAAAUUUGAUGAAGUUAUUAUAACCCAAGAUUAAUUUAAUCAGCUAUCAAUGUCAAAGAACUUCACUUUCCUAGCUCAUAAACCGUGAACAGCCAUUUUUAAAUCUUGCUUGCAGUGUGUACAGAUCAUAUAUCUCAGAUGAUAGAGUUCGGCAGGAAAUCAAUCGAAUGAUUGGGCUAAAGCCAAGAUCUUCCAUGCUGAUAAGAAUAAAUGUAUCUGAUUGAGAGAAACUGAAUAUGCCUACUCCAUAAAAACAAUGAAUCAAAAUAUUAUUAUGCCUGUAAAUAUUUUUAUGGUACAUUAAAGGCAAAGAACUUGACAUGGGACAGGCAACAAGAUCGUCGAUAACAUCAUCAAUGAUUACAUUCGAGCCUUCUAUUAAGUUUAUGUAACAAAUACAAAUAAGUAAUGGCUUAUCAUGCAUUCUUAUUUUUGUUAUGAUAUGAGCAUUAAACGACUCUUCCUCAAUGAAACAUCUGAAAGAGUGUAGGAUAAAAGAAAUCAAAACAAUUUACAACUGAUGAAGUUUCAGUCCAGUCAUCUUGUUAAUGUCUCUGUGAGACAAAUAUACCGCAAGUAGGCACUUGCAGGGUGCUAUGCUCAAAUUGGGACUAAACUACCGGUAUCAAAGCCUAAGGUACAAAACAUACUGCUCAAUAGCAUAUAAUAAUAAUGACUUGGAGAUGAAAGAGUUAAGUAUACAGUUAAUCAAUUAUCGAGCAUCUAGUACUGACAGGGUCAUUUCAUUUGUCGAAGAAGAUACAUGAUUGUCUGAUGAAGAACCUUCUUCAUGAAGUGGUCUUUUCAGCAAUAGAAAACUACGUUGUAUGGGUGUGGCAAUUUAGUUUCACUUCCCAACAUCAGAAUCACAGAUGACAUACUUGGCCUAUCCUCAGGAUGCUGUUGUACACUUAAAAGACUAAUAUGGAUGCAUUGUAUCACUUCUAAUAGGUUGCAAGACUCUUCUAAGCAUUCUUCAACAAGUUCUGAAGGGUGCCUUAUUUCCAUAAUCUCCAUGCCUGCAACAAAUUGAAACCCUUUUAGGUUUUAUCAGACCAAGAUAAGCAACUAAAAUUUGAUUAUAAUCCCUGCUUAAAGAGCAGGGUUCAAAUCCCCCUUCCCCCAAGUCCAAAAAAAAAAAAUCGGCUGAAACUGACAUGCUCAACAAGGUUGGCGCUCUGAGUUGGAUGGUAAAGGCCUCUAUCUUUCUUCCCACUUAAUAUCUCCAGCAGUAAUAUACCAGAGCUAAAGACAAUUGAUUUUGCUGAAAAUAGUCCAUCAAUAGCAUAUUCUGGUGCCAUAUAACCACUGCAGAACAUCAUUUAAAGCAAUAAAUAUAUGAGGAUUUUUAGACAUUAUGAAAUAAAGUGACACUUACUAAGUUCCAGCCACUCUUUUAGCAUUCCCUUCAGUUUGGUCUCCUCCAAAAGUUCUAGCCGAGCCAAAAUCUGAAAAUUUUGGAUUCAUCUCACUAUCAAGCAGGACGUUACUACCUUUAAGAUCUCUAAAUAAUCCUCAAUCCUGAAUCUUGAUGAAGAUAGAGUAGUCCCCUAGCAUUGUCACAGAUAAUUCCCAAACUCUUGGACCAAUUCAGUCCUUUACUUCUUGUUUGAUCUGGCAAUUGGUAGGUAUUCUCUUCAUGUCAGUCCAAUAUCAUUUUUGAUCUUUGGAAGCAGCAAACUGCACCAUGUGUAAAAUGUAUGAAAUAUUUAUAAUAAGAGAAACAAUAAACCAAACCAAAUUGACAGGUUUUCAAUGAUUCAGACCACAAAUGAAUGAGUGAAGGCUUCUGUUAAGCAUGUACUCAUAAACCAGCAGUCUUUACUUUCUGUGAAUGCACCACCCAAGAAGCCUUACAAGAUUCUGAUGUUGAAGUUUGGCAAUCAAUUUUACUUCAUUUUUAAACUCUUUCAAUCUUGUCCAGAACUUUUUGAAAGCCUCUUCACAGCAAUUUCUUGUCCGUUUGCUAGUGUCCCCUGGAAAACUACACUUUAGAUUGAGCUUCAAUAAUAAAGAUAAAUUCUCUGUACUUAAGGUAACUUCAAUUAUAUGAUGCAACUUUUACCUUAUAAACAGUUCCAAAACCACCUUCCCUUACCUUGAUGUCCACAGAAAAGCUAUCAGCAGCACGAGCUAUGGUAUGAGGCUCAAAUAUUGGAAGCUCCAUGUCUUCAUCUUGGCCUUGAUUUUCUUGAUCAUUUUCCUUAUUGUCUUUUGUUUCUCUGAAACAGUAGCCAAAAUAGGCUUGGCAAUCACCAUAAAAUAUGAUAGAUUCUUAUGCAUUUUGAUUGAGCUAGAUAAUUGGACAAAAAGCUGAUGUGGUUUUUGAGAUCACACAAGACCAUGCAUCUCCAGUCAUUUGCUUCAUUAAAAACUCUAUUUUCACACUGAUAAGCAUUGAAGAAACUGCAUGUUGAUUUGCUAGCAUCACUAUUAACAAAGUAAUUUUUAACAAAGGAACAAAAUGAGCAUUUUUGUGAAGGAUAUAUCAAAGUUACCUUUCAACUUUCUGGGGCUUCUGUAAAUGUAAUAACUGACAAUAAACAGCCCCGAAAGCACAGGACAGUAGUGUUCUAAUCACUGCAGCAAGCUCCAUCCUAAGCUUAUCUUUCAAUUCUGUAUGACGGAAUUUGAUAAAGAAAAGCAUAUAUGAACAAAAAAAAGUAAUGAAAACAAGAGAAAAUGUACACUCAUACCUGAUUUUGAAGCAGACAUUCUAACAUAUAGAUCCUGCCCUACUGAUUGAAACUGUUUGUAAUCAAUCAAAUUAUCAAACCAAAAGGCGCAACCACAACCUCUUCCUCCAUUAUCUGAACUAGUGUAUGCUUGGCUUUCUGCAUUCCAUGUGAAGUCUUGUAUCAUCAGUUUGGUUGAGAACAAGUCCUGUGAUCAAUGAUUUCUAUUUGAGACAUUUUGUAUGGUUGAAAUAUCAAAUAGAAAUACCAGGCUGAUAGAUCAUGCAUUCUUUUAUAGGAUGAUGUGAUUGACUGACUCUUCAUCAAUGAACUAUACACAAAGUGCAGUAGAAAACAAGUAACAAACAUUUAGAUUUAUGAUAACUUGUCAAUAUGGGGGGCUAAACUUCUUUGAUAAAAAUUCGAAGUUUAUUUCAUGAUGUCCUGAGCUUAGCUAGGCAUCUUUCUAAACGCUCAAAAAGCGUUUUAUAGCUAAUGGACAGAUUAGUGAUCUGAAGAGGUAGUAAUCUUGUUUUUAAUCUUUAGCCAGGGCCUUUUGGCUAGCUGCUCACUCACUUUCAAAGAAGUGCUUCUAAACAUUUAUGAGAAAUAGGGGAUGCUCUGUUUGUAAUUGCAGGGUAAAGACAAAUUUUUAAUUAGUGGUUUGUCAUGACCAGUAAUAUCUCUCCAAUACCUAUGUUGAGAAGAGAGAAAAAUAAAAUGGCUAAGAGCAAUGUUAUACAUGAAAUGGGUUUACAUAGACAUUGAGUUUCAAAGGAGCCGUAGCUGGUACUGUUAUAAAGUUUGGACUGAGAAGGAGAAAGUUUUAUGCAUCAUUUUGUGGAUGAAUGAGGUAAGAAGAUUUAGUACAUAAAAAGGUAUUCGAUUGGGGAUUUUACCGCCAUACAUAAAAUUAAAAACCUUAUUUUCUUUUUUAUAAAAAGAAGAGCAAUUAUAUACCAAAUGAGAAAGAGAUAAAUGAAUAAAAAUAAAAACAGAAUGUUUGCAAUUUUAACAAGAAGCAAGAGGGCACUGUACCAUUGAGGGCCGUGGAGCCACAUUUAAUCGAAUAGCUCUUCUCCAUCUCAUUCUAAUUAUAUGUAACAAAGGGAGAAAGGACAUCCUUAGCAUCAGGCUGAUUCCAUUUCUUCUCCUUUGUGAUUUUCUUCCGAUGCUAUUAUUUCCUCCAUUUCUUCACAACUGCUAACACUAAUUUCCUCUAAGUUUUGGAGGCUCUUCAACAGCUCAACUGGAAACAACUUCUUAAUCUUCGAACAUCUACACAUAUCUAAUAUUUUAAGAGAAGAGAAGAUGGUAGGUGGUGUUGGAGCAUCAGAGUAAUUCUUUAGCAAAUGAGAAAGAGAUGAAAAUAAACUCACAAUUAAUGUUUGCAGUUCUUAAUAAGAAGCAAGAGCCUUACAGCCACAAUUAAUCAAACACCAAUUCUCCAUCUCAUUCUACCAAUAUUGAACAAAGGGAGAAAGGACCUCCUUAGCAUCAGGCUGAUCCCAUUCCACUGAUUCCCACCAUUCUCUCGGGCUUACUGUCAUUUUUGGUAGAGAAGGAGGAGGAGAUGGUUUCCCAUUUUCAACAAGGGGAAGAGACAAAGGGAUCCUCUUAACUUCUGGACAUUCAACUAUAUGAAGAAAUUGGAGAGAAUCUGCAGGAAUCAUAAGUCCACCGCUGCAAAUGCUUUUCAAUUUUGGUAAUUCUUCCAAGACUAAUGAUUUUAAUUUGGGAAGAAUAAAUGUUGUUCCUUCUCCUUUGUGAUUUUCUUCUGAUGCUAUUAUUUCCUCCAUUUCAUCACAAUAUCUAACAUCAAUAUUCUCUAAGUUUGGGAGGCCUUGCAACUGCUCAACUGGAAACAACUUCUUCACCCUCGAACAAAAACUGAUAUCUAAUUUUUUAAGAGAAGAGAAGAUGGCAGGUGGUGUUGGAGAAUGAGAGGUAGAUUCAAUUUCAACUGCUACUCCUACUCUCACAACUUCACGCAAGUUUUUCAACAAAAAUAGGCGUAACUCCUCAAUGUUGUCAAGUGCGUCACAAGACGAUAAUGACAAGUCAACCACACACUCCAUCCCUUUACACUGCCAAAUUCGAC
rnacentral:lncRNA from 1 species